rnacentral:lncRNA from 1 species
GGUAGGGAGGUAGGUGCACAAGAAGAAUGACCAGAAAAAUGCAACAUCAUUAACAAUAGCCUCUGAGUAGGCUUGUGUAGCAGCAGGAACAGCCAAUAGCCCACGCGCGCACGUGCCCCGCCAUAGUCGUACGUUCCCCCCAGCUCCCACCCUCGGCACCCAGCCCCCUCGAGUCCCUCAGCCGCCUAGCCACUCCGACCCGGCCCCCACCUCCUUCCCAACAAAUGACACACACACACACACACACACACACACACGCACACGCACACACACACGCGCACACACACACACACGCACACACACACACACUGCAAUACACACACUGCAACCCACCCACACACACACACUGCAACCCACCCACACACACAUACACACACACUGCAAUACACACACAUACACACACACAUUGCAACCCCGACCUGGAAGUUGUUGUUGGCUAGCUCCAAUCCGUUGAGCACUCCCGACAGCUUGCUGGUGGGGCGGGGUGUAUGGGUGUGUGUAUGUAUGAGUGUCCAGGGGCCAGGGUAGAACCAUGGUGAGGGCGGGCCAUAAUUACUUGAAUUACCGGGAAGGCGGUGAACAAAACACAGCGAGAUCUCAGCAGCCGCAGUAGCAGUAGCAGUUCAGCAGCAGUAGCAGUUAAGCAGUAGCAGCAGGCCGAGAAGAGCAAUUUGGAGGGUCCCAUAGGGGAGAGAAUAGUGGAGCGGUGCUUGCUGUGUGUGCGUGCGCAUCAAGUGAGGCCGGAUUUUACAUGAACCAAUAGGGACUUAUGUCGUACACGUCCGUACACCUACGAUAUAGCAGCAGAUGAACAUCGAGUGCGCGGGCGCGUGUGUGUUUGCACAUGGAUUGAUCGGUGGCCGAGGGGUUCCUUACGUACGUAUGUAAGUACGUAUGUACGUAUGCAUGUACGUAUGCAUGUACGGAGCUAGCUUGGGUUUAUAACUCGACAUGCGUGUACCAACAGCACCUCUUGCAUCAUGUAAAAUGUGAUGUGAUUCUUGUUUGUUUGUUACCAACCUGAGCGAGCUGGGGAUGGUGCCGGACAGGCGGUUGCCUUCCAAACGGAGCACGCCUGCACGUUUUGUACGGAAGUGGUUAGUUAGUUAGUCAGGUAGGUAGGUAGGUCAGGUAGGUAGGUCAGGUAGGUAGGUCAGGUAGGUAGGUAGGUAGGUAGGUAUGCAUUCCAUAUGCGUUUUUCAUUCCAUUCCAUGAAGCUCUCGAUACCCCUGUCGACUGUGGAUGUGCACCAUACACCACGAAAGGGGGGGGGAGUAACAGCCUUUCCCCGCGUACACAUCCAUGAUGACAGAUCAAGUGGCCAACAACCGCCAUACAACAAACGAAUUCCUGCCACACACAGCGACCAUGUAAAUCAUCCUAAAUAUAGCAAAAUGACAUUCCGCCUGGUGCUCGCUUCACUUCUUAUUAGCCCCAAAUGCGCUGCCGCCCGCACUCACAACACACGGUGUGCGUGUGCCGCGGACCCACCCACGCAUCCUCUGAACUAGCUGUCGUACAAUACGGCACACACACCAUCUAAGACAUACACACACACGCUAAAAUAAGUCGCGUUAUUUUCCAGCAUCUCGAAGUGGGCUUUUUUCGGCGGUCACAGUCCUCCUGCCACGCCACAAAAACGUCAUUCAAAGCUUGCACACGUACUUACGAAGCUUGGGCAGGUCUCCGAAGGAGGAUGGGAUGCUCCCCACAAACUGCGACACAGCAGCGGCAACGGGGCACAGGGGGGGGGGUCCAACAGCAACAGCAACAGCAACCGCAACCGGGGGAUUAAUCAUGCGACAGCUAGGCGGGCUUAGGUGAGACCGGCACAUUACUGUCAAUUUUGCGCUUGCAGCUCUCUGCCAAUUGCGCUAUAGAUCUGCAGAUGCCGGCUGUGGGUGGCACCAGUGAUACAUGCAUGCACUAUAUAUAUGAGAGGCUUCCGUGCCCAUUGGAACACACAUUUGGAUUGUCGUAUAUCUAGGAUUGAACACACCGUACACCACCAUCCACCAUUACCACACUGUACUGUGCCAUACCCGAACUGCAAGCCCAAGGCGGUUGAUGAUGUCUUCUAGAAUCCCUCCGCCGCAUCCCUCCUCACCCGAACAUCCGUAGAGACAGAGGGUUCAUCAGUCGCUGAACCAAUCCAGCGUGGUGCGAAUUUCGGUCCAUCAACUAUAAUCCCAACUCCACAUCUCAGCAGCUAGCCAUAAUCUCACGCUCCGCCCGACAAGGACGGGGGUCUACCUAGAAAAACCUUAAAACCGCAAAUUGCAGUAGUGUCACCAGACCAGAUAUAUGUGCGUGUGCGUGUGCGUGUGCGUGUGCGUGUGCGUGUGCGUGUGCGUGUGCGUGUGCGUGUGCGUGUGCGUGUGCGUGUGCGUGUGCGUGUGCGUGUGCGUGUGCGUGUGCGUGUGCGUGUGCGUGUGCGUGUGCGUGUGCGUGUGCGUGUGCGUGUGCGUGUGCGUGUGCGUGUGCGUGUGCGUGUGCGUGUGCGUGUGCGUGUGCGUGUGCGUGUGCGUGUGCGUGUGCGUGUGCGUGUGCGUGUGCGUGUGCGUGUGCGUGUGCGUGUGUGUGUGCCCCGGCCGUCCGUGCCAGCCCAUGUAAGUGUGUUUUUGCGGCUCGUUCGCGAGCGGGUUGGCGUGCAUGGAAGACGAAAACAUUAAACGCUUCCCUAGGCAUCUACCUAGCGAUAUCCAGCCGUACACGGUUGCUGACUCUGCUUUGUCGCCGCAUGCCGGGGAAGACUAACCCCCCUCGCAUACCCCCCCACCUGCUUACGUACACGUGCAUGCUCACGUACAUACAUACACACGUGUAACAUACGCGCAAUACACACAUGAUAUACACAUGCAGAUUGGACGCGCGAGCACACAUAUAUACCCCCAGGGCCUCACACACGCACACAUGCAAAUACACACAUACACAUACACACACACGCACGCACCAAGUUGUCUUCAACCUGACCGAGGAGUUGAUGCUCCACAUGCAGAAGCAGCAGCAGCAGCGGCAGCAGCAGCAGCAGCGGCAGCAGCGGCAUGAUGCAGAACAACAGCAGCAUUACUUUACAGCGAUGUAUAGGUGUGGAUAUGUAGGUAAUAGAUAGACAUGUUGUUACUAGGAGGUGCACGUACGCUGGCCUAGGUGCAUGAAGGCAUUCCUGUGCGUGAGUACGCGUGUUGAGGGGAGAGGGUUUUAUGGAACUCCACUGGCAGAUACCCACCCUUCAGAUGUUGCUAUACUGAAAGUGCCGCAGUUAACGUAGUUUGUUUAGGUAUAUGUAAAGGGGUUUAUAUAUUAUAAGAUGUGUCGGACAGAUAGUUAGGGUGUUGGACCAGGUAGGAUAUCCAUAGGUAUAGUAGGAAGAUUAAGGUAAAGAGGCCAUCGAUCAGUCUGGUUAGAAAACCUGUGUGUAUGCAUGUGUGUGCGUGUGCGUGUGUAGCUGUGUGUGUGUUACACCUCCAGGUUGCGUUACCCAGAUAGAGAGGUGUAACGAGCCAGCCCGUACACGAGCCAGACAGCUAUGGGCCCAAGCGCCUAGAAGCUUCAAGCUUAUAGGUUAAACAGAACACCUAACCGUAAUCUUGUUUAAGGCAGCGAGGUGCGAGGGGGAGAGGGAGAAGAUGAUAUGCCGCAUCCGGCGGUGAGCGGGUUUUGUUUUGCCGAAGGCUGCGCACGCUAUGAGCUAGCGGGAGUCAGGACGGACGGGCUGCUGCGUAUAUAAUAUAACACUUACAGCAGCAGCAAAGCAAGUACGCACCUUGAAUUCUUGCAGCGUUGGCAGGCGGCUGACAUCCGCCGGAAGCGGGCCCGUAAGCUGCGUGCGAUCCCGAACGAUAAAUAGCAAACCCACGAAUAUUUAUUGCGAAGAGAAAAGAAAGGGAGCAACCAGCAGCAAGCAUUCCUUCUCUCCUUACUUUGCCGAAGCAUCACGCUCACGCACGUGUGUGCUUGUGCUGAGUAGCAAGUGCACCGAUUCCCGCGACGACACCCAGCAACGUGCAGUGUGCGUGCGUCUGCGCAUGUGCGCCAGGAUAUAUACGCAAAAGAAUGUUUAUACAUACAUAUGGCAUAUUAGCAUGCAUGCGAUAUACCAUGCAUAGGCCUGCACAUCCCGCUUGCCGAAUUUUGCUGCUGCAUGUAUGCACAUGUAUGCACAUGUAUGCACCCAUUCUUUUGAGUGCACAGACGAUAUCUGUACGGCAAGGGCCUGGCGCGCGCGUUUGCGUGCGGCAGUGUUGGGGAACUGAUAAAAGCCGUUAUCCCUCUGCCGUAUUCGUACAUCCGUACUUCCGUACCCUAUUGUGCGAUAGAUCGAGCUCCUGCAGCAUACUGAAGCACUUGAGUGUCCAGGCGGGAAAGGGCCCGCUGAAGUAUGAGCCGUCCAAAUCCAGCUCUCGAAGGUGGCUGAGACCGCACAGCUCGCCUGGUGGAUAGACGGAUUGAGGGACAAGCAGACAUUCACUCAUACAUACAAAUGAUACAAGAGAGAUGUCAUUUGGUAUCACCAAUAAUAAUGUAGGUAGGACGUUGCACACAAGUGACGAUAGGCAAAACACACAUCAAGGUUAAAUCGAAACCCUUGAGACACACACACACACACACGCGCGCGCACACACACACACACACACACACACACGCGCACGCACACACACACACACACACACACGCACGCACACACACGCGCGCACACAUACACACACACACGCGCACGCACACACACACACACACGCACACACGCUCAUAUCAUCAGGCAAAUAGCUGAGACCGAAAGAUCAUCAAUUAUUAUACCUGGCUGGCUAACAAAGUAGCCAGCAGCAGCCUAACCAGUGGGUUAUAUCCCUUACUGGUCACUAAGUCGCUACUUACGGGGCGGCAGUCCGUCCAGUUUCUGGUCGGUGAUGUGCACAUUGGUGACCAUGCCGUCGUACUUUCCCACAGAGCCCUCGCCGUACGCUGUCCGUGCGCACAUACGCCGUCGUGCGUCAUGCGUCGUGUUGGCGUUACAAAGCCGAACGAAACAACGCAAUAAUGUAAAACAGGAAUAGGACAACUAUCUUAAUUUAUAAGUCGGACAUGGAGUAGUACACACCGAGCCAGCAUCCAUUCGCGCUAACCUCGUGUUGUACUAUAUGUAGUAUAAUAGCGCAAUCAUAUUAUUAUAUAUACAGGUGCCUGCUGCGGUAAUAAACAGCAUUAGCAAGGGCGACGCUCGCUUCCCGUGCUCAUCCGGGAGUCAGAUCUAAAAGAAUCAUUACGCUGUCAUUAGUUUCCGGGUCGCUAUCGCUCUGCUCCCCAUCCACUAGUCCACUACAUACCGUACUGAUGUAUGUGUGUGCUCAUUACCACGCCUCACACACCACCUCACUCACGUCCUUGGGCACCUCGGCAGUGAAUGAACUCCCAGUUCCCGCUCCAAUCUUUGGAGCACGGGUCACACGGCUGGUCGGAGUCAGCGGGAUUCGUGGGGCAGGUCCAGUGCGACAGCGUGCGCCUCCAGGCAGCGGACUUGUUCAUGUUGGCGUCACGCACCGCGAUCAAUGCCGCGACUGCUGGUCAGUGCCGCAUGGCGCCACCAUUGGGAUUCAUUACCAUGUGUGUAUGUAUGUAUAUAGGUGUCGGUAAUAAUAAAGCGGCAGGGAUUGUUGGUGUAGAUAGUGAGGAACGGCAGUAGUGCGUGGCGAAAUGCGCGGUUGCAUGCGACGGAUGCAUAUAAUGAUAUGCGGCGGACCGCCGUGGGUGAGCUUGUCAGCUAUAUAUAGCUGCUGGCGUAAACGAACGCGAUUUUGUGUGUCCAUACCUCCGUCCAUUCCUCCCACCAUCGCCAAGAUCGAUCAUUUCGUUCAUGCUCAUCCAGCAUGCAUGCGUGUAUUAUUAUAUGAGUGUGUACACACACAAUAACAUGUUUGCGUUGGUGGAGGUGAUGGGGCGGGGGGGGGGUCGGAUCUGCUGCUGCGGAUGAUAAAUGGGAUUCGCCAAGUCACUCCGGAGAAGCAUACGCAUUUUUAACUAUACCAUUUACCUCCAUACAUACACAGACAGACAGACAGACAGACAGACAGACAGACAGACAGACAGACAGACAGACAGACAGACAGACAGACAGACAGACAGACAGACAGACAGACAGACAGACAGACAGACAGACAGACAGACAGACAGACAGACAGACAGACAGACAGACAAAAUGUUGCAAGAAGAAAUGUCGGCAAGUAAGAGACGAAAUGCACACGCAAGCAAUACACGGAUCGAUGCAAAGAGCGUGUCCCGUGCGACUAACUAACAAUAAUGGUCGCUUUGUAACGCCAACCACGCAUCGCACACGCGAGUGCACGCUACGUAAAAGCAGUAGUAUUGCUCACGGCGAUUGCGUUGAACUUACGCUGAUCCGGCAUUGUCUUAGCCGUGGCUGGGGGCAGCGGCUGCAGCAGCAGCAGCAGCAGCAGCAACAACUGGAGGGCUACCAGAAGCCGUGCUGCAGCUGCGCUGCCGAUCAGGGUAGAGGUGCUGCUGUUGAUAUUGCUGCUAUUGCUGCUGCUGCUGCAGUUGCUUGGCACGGCCCUACGUCUCGCCGCGACCGCUGCCAUUGCUCGCAUGCGACCGCACUCGUGUUUGUAUCGUAUCGCUGUUUGCAUGAUCCGGUGCGUGAUCAAUGAAGGAGCAACACUCAAGUGAUAUAUCGUGUAGGAGGGAGAUUUAUGAAUAUACACUCAAUUAGAUAAUUAGACAAAUAGAUAAUUAACGGAUGGAGCAAGCGAUGGAUGAGGGCAGCCCGGUCGGUCGUCGUCAGCAGCAGCAGCAGCAGCAGCAGCGGACCUAUGAAGGAAGGUUCCCGUAGUGCGAAAUCGUUUGACUAGGAGCGAGUGCUUGGCUUGCUUGUUUGCUAAACGUGAUGAUUGGCUAUCAUCAUGAACCAUACCCUAAGUAGGAAUGAUGCCGGGGGUAGAUAUGGAUGAUGUUUGCUGCUACUAGCUGCUGGUUGGGCCGCAGAAGUAGCAGCUUGGCUAUGUAAGUCUGUACAUAUGUCUCACCCCCCGGAUGCGGUCCAAUGAGGAAUCUACCAAGGGUGGCCCGCCAGCGGGUGCAGGUGCUCGUUCCCCGGUGAUACUGGAGGGCUGCAGACCGCCAAUGAACCUCUCCGAUGUAUGGCGAAUAAUGGAAGGUCGUUUGUACGGAUACAACCGGCGGAAGCUGCUGCUAUUGCUGCUGCCGCUGCUGCUGCUGCCUUGCGCAGGAGGUGGCUUGCAGCUGCCGAAUCAGGCGGCGUCCCGUACCUGGGUGCGCUAGACUGAGGCUACCCCGCUAUAUAUGUGAGGCAGGGCAGCAGGCGCGUACGGCGACAGCUUGCACAGCGGACCGCCGCGGCCUAAAUAGUAAUAAGUAUGUGAGUAGUGGUGGCCGCAGUGGACAAGGAUUGCGAUAUCAGCAGCUAGGGAUGGAGGUUAAACUUUUUGUAUAAUUAUGAAGCCUAAUCGCAAGGCACACAGAUAUCAAUAGGGGAGUGGGGCCUUCUGCCUUCGAAGCUGUGCUUUACAAACAUGUGAUGCUUUCAUCUUUCAUGAAGCUUUUGGUAUAUUGAUUGUUUCGUAGAGCGUUCUUCGUGCCUGUUGUAUUUCUCGCCCAAGGCCCUAUCUGUCAACUGAGCAAUCCGGUAGCAGUUUGACAGCUGAAAACGAGGCAACGAAUCGUCUGGGUGAUGAAGUGGUUGAUGAAGGAUUUGCACUCCAAGUGGAUUGUUUUGCCGCAGGAAAAAUUAGUGGUGUGGAUUGAUGGCCGUUUCCAACAGAGGUGUUGUCUGUGUUCCCGAGUGCUGCGUGCAGGAAGUAGGGUGAUUCUGGGGGAUAUCCUCGGAGAGUAGUUCUGCCCCCACAACAUCAACAACAACUUUGCUGCUACAGCAAUCUGUUAGCUCCGUGCUGCUCGCGCUUUGCCUGCCAGCAGUAGUCGUAAGGCCACACAUCAACACUGGAAAUCUCGUACAUUACAGCCAAUCUAUCGAAAAGCAGCAGCAGCAACAGCAACAGUAGUUGUUCGCACAUGCAUACAGGUAUCUAACAGCAUCUUCUCAUAUAAUAUUACAUUUUAAUGAGGGUGCGCGCUGUGGGUGUUCAUUCCGCUUCAUGCACCACCACCACCACCGCUUCCGCUGCUGCCGCGGCGUCUGUCGCUACCAACUCGCGACUGCCGCACCAUCCACCUCCACAGCUCAGCCGUGUUGUAUGCCCGGGUCCAGCAGUCAUGCUGCAGGUCCUUGUAGCGCGUGAAGCGGUGGACGGACCCGCUGGCGGACCCGGCGCGGCCCGCACCAGCCUCCUACACGCAACGACCGAGCAGGAAGCAAGAUUACAACCGGCAGCAGGCAGGCAGCAGGCGGGGCGGUGGGGGGUUACCCCUCGAGGGGGCUAGGGGGGGGUCCGUGGUGCGGGUUUAGCGGCACACAUGUGCCGUUAUGACGUGUAUGUAUGUCACUCAUGUAUGUGUAUGUAUGUGUGUAUGUAUGUAUGUGUGUGUUACAUGGUUGGGGUUGCGUGACCCCAUGCCAACACACACCACACACACCACCACACACACGCACAUCACCCUCCGACUCAAGCAUAUUAAUCAAGCACGAUACGGGCGCCAUUACAACUACCUAAUUUCCAAAGACCAGUUUAUUUGCGACUAUAUGAACCCAGUAGAAGUAAACCUUGGCUAAAUCUAGUUUCCCUCUUUUUUUAAAAGGAACAGAGGUUAUUUUUUUGAGCUCCUUGUCCCAUAAGCCCAUAAGCAUUCCCCCCGUUUGCCGUACCUCCAGCGCUCGGAACACCUCCUCGCUGGCGGAAAUCGGGAUGACCUUGUCUCGCUCGCCGUGGAAGUUCCAGAUGGGCAUGUCACGUAGCGCCGCAAGGGAAGAGACCCGUGGGUCAGUCGCCGCACCGCCACACACCGGCGCCAACGCCGCGAACGCCUCCGGGUAGGCCGCGCCCAGCGCCCAGGUGCCGUACCCACCCAUGGAAAUGCCCGUAACGUAAAUCCGAUCUGGAUCCACGCGAAGCGGCAGCUUCACCUCGUCAUCCUCCUCUUCGUCUUUCUUCCUCAUCUCCUUCUUCGUCUCCUUCUCCAAGCUUUCUGCAGCGGGGGCGGCGCCGGCGCCGCCGCUGCCCCUGCCGCCGCCGCUGCCCCUGCCGCUGCUGCUGCUGCCUCCGCUGCUGCUGCUGCUGCUGCUACCGGCGGCAGCACCGCUGGCAUCGCUGCCUCCGCCGCUGCUAUUGCUACUGCCACCUUGUUGCUGUUGCUGCUGCCGCGAGGAGGCGGCCUCACACCGCUUUCGCUGUUGUCCCUCCCUGCUACCGCUGCGGGUUGACCCCGCUGUCGGUUUCGGAGGUCCGAAGAUGAUCUCAUCCAACAGCGUCAUCAAACCAGCGGGUCGCCAUCCGUAGCCAUGACGGGAAUAAUCAACCUACAGAAUAAUGAUACUGAUAAUGUCACAGAUACGCCGACACCAGUGAAGGUGGUCCGUGAAUAAGCACGGAGCGUUUAUUCAAAAAAUCGACAAAUGGGAAUGCGCGGAAAUGAGCGGGAAGCGAGAAAUACAGACGCGCGUAGAUGAACCUCGUUGUAUCGGACGGAAAUAGGAACAAAGGAGUGGGGGAAGGUUGCUGGGGGCCGGCUAGCUGAUUGCAUUUACAUUUGCUGCUGCUGCUGCUGAGCGAGGCGAACCGGGUAGUGGGUCGCGGUCGCACACCACCUACCAUUCAGCUAAUAGCCGCAGCAAGCCAGGUAGGCGACCCGACGACUUUGUGCCCAUGUUUGCGCUCCGUAUGCGCCCCUACCUCUACCCCUAACCCCCCUACCUGGGGCGACACGGUGAUGGCUCCCUCACCCACCAGCUCCGCGCACUCCAUGUUGACGGGCUCCGGGCGACUGCCGGCCUUCCGUGCAGCUUCCUCCCCGCAAUGGGCCGCCACCAGACGAGGAACGCCGUGGAGCUUUACCUUCCGGGGGGGGGGGUUGGGGGGGGGAUGGAAAGAGAGAGGAGGAGGAGGGGGAGAAUCAUAUGACAAGGAAAUUAGAGAUGAAUUCCGCCGCCGGCCGGUUCAAAGAGGAGGCGGGGGAGGGGGCGGGAGUUAUAUUGCGCUUGGGCCUUCGGCUCGUAUGGGUAGUUUUACAGGUAUGGGGUCACGCACCCCCAACCAUGUAACGCACACACAAACACACACACACAGAUACGCAGCAGAACGAGCCGAUCCGUAUAUCCAGGGAGGGCGGGAGGGAGGGAGGGAGGGAGGGAUGAAUGGGUGACGGGAAAUGGAAGGAGCGGGAGUCGCCUGUAGGUGGGAGAAGGAUGAAGUACACGUCGGGGGCGGCGAAACACGGCAUGGGUCACUCAGCAUGUACGUGGACCCAUAGUUCAAUGCAUAGUUCACACGGCACGUCAUCCUGCCAGAACAGUUAUAACCGCCAACUUCCACACAUGUCGCGCCCCUUCCUGCCACACGCAGCACACUGCAGUAGGGGUAUCGUUAGCUAGCGCCAACUAAACAUAACGCCACGUACGUUUUUGUAUGCCUGUAUGUCGUGCGCAAUGCCGCCACUAGCACGCUUCACACGUACAUGCUCCCCCAUAAACGCCCAUCCCUCCCACCCCUCCCCCAGAUGCCAACCCAGAUGCCACACCAGUAGGGUUGUGCCGGCAUUAGAAAAUUAGAACUAACAUUAGAAAAAAUAUAAUUAGAAUCUAAUAAGAAUUUUAGAAGACCCCGUUUAGAACGUAUUAGAACAUCCUAAUGUCGUACGGACAUUAGAACGGCCGGAAAGCCGUAGCUUUAAGGCGCAUCAGCGGUUCUACUGCGUGCAUUUUACACGAAAAUGUCAGAUAGAGGUGCGGGGCCAUCAAAGCCACCCCUUCCUCCCGGGAAGGCGGAAGCAUCAGGGCCAAUGUACAAGUAUGGCAACAAGGAACUUGAUGCAAAAGCGUAUGCAGAAGCUCUGACCUCCGCAAAGAAGAAGGGUCUUGCAGCUUAUUGGACUUCUUUCAACGUCAAGAAGGGCCGCUUCGGUGCGAACGAUGAGGAGGUGGUGAUGAAGCUGCUGGAGGAGGCCGGGGAGUGAAGUACUUAUUCAUUGGCUUCCGCGGGAGUGGUUUGUGUUCGUUUCAAACCAGCGGCCGUAGGUUUGGUUGUUUUUGCAGCAGUCUCCAUUCAGGCGUGGGUUUGGCUAGCAGGCACCAGAAUAGCCCUUCCUCUCUGUGUUUUUGCAUUCCCCUUAGCGAGCAAGCACUCCCCGGCAGUGAUGUGGUGAUUUUGUGCAAAUAGGGACGUAAAUGGACAGGUUUAGCGGCGUUCUUGGUUGUUUCCGCAGCGGUCUGGCGUGGGUUUGGCUAGCAGGCACCAGAUUAGCCCUUCCUCUCUGUGUUUUUGCAUUCCCCUUAGCGAGCAAACACUCCCCCGGCAGUUAUGUGGUGAUUCUGUGCAAGUAGGGACUUAAAAGGACAGGUUUGGCGGCGUUCUUGGUUGUUUCCGUAGCAAGUCUGGCGUGGGUUUGGCUGGUAGGUACCCUCCCCAGGCACCCGACCGGAGUAAAUUUAAUUGGAAAUGCGUGCGGUUACAUCUGUGAUGGCCUAUACAAAAUUUCAGGUUCAACGGACCCCUCCCUGAAAAGUUGUCGAGCGUCUUCUAAUUUUAGAUCCUAAUUUCUAAUUAGAACUAAUAUUAGAAUUAGAUUAGAACGGAAAACAUUCUAAUGUCAGGAACAACCCUACACACCAGGGCUCCCCCCCAUGGAGCGGCAUUGCGUUUGCCGCUGCAUCGACCUGGCACCACCUGGCACCAAGAACCCAAAAUCCCUAAAACAAGGGGAUAGGGCACCCUCUCUUUCCCCAUUCAUCCCAUUCAAACCCAUUCAAACAUGCGGUGAGGCGUGCGCACGCAGCCGUCCAUUGCACAACUAUUUUCUAGCUUCAUCUGUAAAACUAUGCGCUUGUCCGUGUGGUAAACAAAUUAGCUGCGCAGCACUGCUAUAUAUCUACUGCCGCUGCCCGGCUGCCCGGCUGCCCGGCUUCAGAUAGAUAGAGAAGUACCUUUUCAAGUCCGCCCGGGCCGCCCUCUCCUGCGCCAUGCAGGAACAGGAUGAGCGGCCAGAGACGUUCCUGCUUCUGCUCCUGCUCCUGCUUCUGCUCCAGCUGCUGCUGUUGCUGAUGCUCUUGCUCUUGCGCUUGUUGUCCCUGCUGCUGUUGCUGCCCUUGCGGCUGAUGCUUCCCUAACGCCUGCUGGUAAUUUUGGUGAUACGCGGAUGGCAGCGAGAGAUAGUACUGAUAUCGCGGCUGGGUGCGCUGCUGCAUAGGUCGCAGCCGGGCCGCGCGCUGGCUGGCUGGAGAAGGCGCCAUUAUUGCAACGAAAAAAGAGUUUGGAAGUUCCUGCCUGUCUGGGCGAUGCUGGAGGAAAGCUUAAUGGUCGCGCUGCGCAGAGGGAAGUCAGCGAUUACUGUUUUCCUGCUCGUCCUUCCUUUUAAAACAUUUUCUUUUGGGGGUGCUAAUCUUGACGGCCCUGACAUGACAGACGGGGUUUGACACAGUCCCUGAGAAGCAAACGCCGCCGAUUAUUGUCAGAGGGCAGGUAAUAGUGUGACAACAGUGAACAACAGCGUCUCUACGAUAGGCCGCAUGGACUGUGGCAAUGAUCCGGCAUCUUAUUGUUCCGGUGAAUCAAUAGCUGCCGCUGCCGUAAGCAGCUCUCUUGGCAUCUCCAGGAAUAGGAGUCCGCGUAAGGGGUGCGCCCUCGCGCGGCUUGGCCCCGACGAAUUGCUGACGCAUGCUUGCAUGAUUGCAUGACGCAUAUGCAACGGUCCGCUCCAAAAAAUGUCCUUGCUAAUCCUGCUACUGUCCUAAAAUAGUGAUGUCGCCCGUUCCAUGCGAAACGCAAGAAUAUUGUAUUAAGUGUCGGUUGUCCGCGCGCGUGAGCGAGUACAUCCCCUCCCCACCCACGACCGUUGGUAUUUUGAACUUGAAUUCCCACCCUCCCCACGUAUGUUUCCCCCAUGCUUUGCCUGCUAAACCUUCGACACUGCAUCUGCACCGCAACCUGCCGGCCGACUUGAGUUGGGCACGCUGAAGCUUGCCAAUCUAAUUUUACAUGUCAACAAACACAAAAGAUAGGAGCCAUCAAUAUUAUGAAGGAAAAAAAACCUUUAGAGUUUUAAGUGAAAUGAAAGAAAACCAAGGUUUUCUGUAUAUUUGUCGAGAGCGACUCGAGUCGAAUGUCGAUGAUGCAUACGGCAGGGUCGUACAGGGCAAGUGUAAGCCGCAGGAAUGAGAGGAAAGACUAAAUUUCCCAAUUUCAUAUUUCAGUACUGGGGAAUAAACGUUUAUUAUGCGACCUUCACGCGAGCCUUUUGGUCGACAUAGAAGCGUUGAUCAUCGAGCUGUCCGCCCGUGACAAGGCGGACGCAACUGCUUUUUUGACUGCAGUCAAAAAGCUCUGGUUUUGCUCGCCGACAACCCUCUGGCUCGCAAUGACACAAGCAGGACUUUACGGCAUCAUUAUGAUAAGCCAUGCCUAUGACAUAUACUUGUUGACAAAGCGGCAGCUGGCCGUUGCCGAAGCAUCCGUCGCUCCGCAACGUUGCCACCCGCCAAGGUUGCCACUCCGACAAGUCCGGCCGUAUCAUCGAGCGCCCGCCCAAGAAUUUUCUGGGGGUGAAAAAGGUGUAUGCAAACCCGUGGGAUUCCGCUAAUUCGUGUUGCAAAUUAGGAGGGUACUAUUAUCUGCCAGCGAGUCCUGUUGUUGUGAUUGGGAUGCAUUAUGCGUUUGACGACCCUGGCCAAGAACACGACGAGCCCACUACAACACAACUACACACACACACACACGACGAGCUACACAACAAUAAAGUUAGCCAGAAUGGCAAAUUUUACGUAACAUGAUUUGGUGUGUGAAUCGGAAAACCCGACCAAGCACCCCUUCUGCAAGGCGAUGCAGGCUGCAGCCAAGCGGUCGCUCCCCCACUGGGAAUGCUGCCAUGGUGCGGCACAAGGGUUGUGCCAUUUCCUUCAUGUGGUGAUUGCGAUGGAUGAAAUCUUGGCUUACAUCGGGACCUGGUGUGGUGGGUCAUACUUUGGGUUCGGCGUACGUGGAGUUGUGUCUUGCUGCCCGCCUGCGAUAUGAUGUCCCGGGCAUCCCUGUUGGCUUGUGGUGUGCAGUGUGCAGUUCCAUGAAGGCUUUGCAGCAAUCUUCCUCGCCGAUCACAAAAAUGAUCAGUUCCGAGAGGGCAACACGGUGUAUGGAGGCUGGAGGCAGCAGUGAGGUCGGGGGGUGACCGUUAUAGAGUGUCAUCUGUGCUUGUCUGGCCUGAAGAGGACUGUCUGAGCCGCUGUCCCAGGGUUUUGACAGCCAGCCGGCUUGGAGCAGGAAGGCUACAUCAUUGGAGGGGCACACUAUCAGCUAUAUAUUCGUGUGGUACCAUGUGCUGAGUGCAGUAGCAAAGGUGUUGGGAUAUUAGCUGUGCACAAAAGUGCAAUCGGGUUGAUGAUUCGAGCUGCACAGCCUGGAGGCAGGCAGCAGUAGUAGUGGUGUGACAGCCGCUGCCGCCACCAUUGGCCAUACCAAGGCUGCAAGGAGCCCCGUGGGCCGCUCCCGGCGUUUGGGACGAAGUCUGUGUUCUUUCUUUUGUGGCUGCUUUACGAGCUAAUGGCCGCUGUGCCGGUCCUGUUCUCCGCGGGAGAGCUGCUCUCAGAGUUGGCCGAGGAGAACGAGGACGAGCUUGCCUGGCUGGGGGUCGCCGUCCUGGCUGCUCAGGAGUUGGGAAACGGUUCUUGGUGUAGUUCAAGAUUUCCGGGCGAUUGCUGGUAGCAGCGGCAGUGGCAACAGCGGCCGCAGUAGCCUUGGACGAAGACAGGGUGCAUGGCUGUAGUGGUGAGCUUGCCAUGACCCUGCCCUGGACGCUGCUGCAGGCGCGAUGGAGGCCCUGGCUCGAAGAACGGCUGGGCCGAGGGCGUCCUGCAGCUACUGCAGGGCCAGCUGCCGGAGAUUGCUCUACCGUGGGCGCUGGUUUUGGAGGCUUCACGGCUGUGGUGGCCGCCUGGCAAUUGCGCAAACGCCGCAUGUGCCAACUUGGCUGGCGACAGCGAGUCGGAGCUGCCGGCGCCCAAGUGCGGCCGCUGCGGCUAGGUGUCGUACUGCUGCCGGGAGUGCCAGGUGGCGGACUGGGGGCCGGCCCAAUGAGGGUUAUGCCGGGGCCGGCAGCAGUAGGGCGGAAGAGGAAGAGGGUCGCACGGAGCUGCGAGUAGGAUGGAUGUGGAUGACUCGCAUUGCUGCUGCUACCCAGUGUUAUGUAUUUUGCUUGGACUUCCUUUUCGACAUCGGAUUCGCUAUAGUCUAGGCGGUUAGGAUGCGAGAUUUUCACUCUCGAGACCCGGGUUCGAGUCCCGGUAGCGAAAUUUGCUCCUAUUUUGCUCGGGCAUUGCUUGUAACGCACAUGCUGAUGCUCCCGGAGGUUUCGGGAUCAAGAUUGAUCGAAAAUUUCUUCCGAUUGGGUGGAAGGUGAGAAUGCCCCUAAUCGAUGGACGUUGAUGACCUGGGAUAAAGUCAACCUGCGAGCUGACCAGGAAUUGGAAUUGAGCCGCCGUUGUACCGGUAGAUUUCGUUGGAUGCCGGUGGUGGGUGCUGAACCUGAGCGAUCCACUGAAUUCGGAGAAGUCGGCUAGGGGGUGACUGGAUGAGGGUGCCCCGAAAUACCGGGGAAGGCAGGGUUUCGACCAGGGUAGCGGCCACGGGUGAAGAUAUGACCCCCCUGUCCGACACAUCAGCUGCAUCUUGGUGUCUAGAAUCCGGGUGGGGUUGAUCAACGUGUGAGCUUCCGCGGGUCCCUAUCUCUGACAUUUGUGUUAUUGCGGAGGGGCUUUGUACGGAGGAUGAUGGGUUGUAGAACAGUGAUUGUGGGGGCGCAACAAGGUAUUCGUGCGCUCGGCAGGCCGCUAGGUCGUGGAAGGCCCCAUCGUGAGCCCGGGGUUGCCUGAGGGGCUCUGGCUUUGGCGGAAUGGCGGAGUACAUGUAGCUGACUGAUAUUGUUGAACUGAUAUUGGUAUGGGGGUGAUGGGGACUGGUGGAAGGGGUGACAGACGGCUGGGGAAAGGAAGGCGGAUGAGACGGCUGUGCUACCUUGAUGCAUCCACCUCUUAAAAGUGUCAUCCACAAGGACGCGGCUUUGGUACGACUGUACAGCUAGGUUUCAGAGCAGUAGCUAGUACGGCGCUCGCGAACGAAUCGGGUGUGGUGCAGUUUUUUUAUCAAUCAAUAGGUUGUUGGCGGAUACUCCUGCCUACAUACAGGUUUCGGAGUAGUAGCUGGUACGGGGAGCUGUGUGCGGUACAGAUCUCGGGUGCUGGUCAAAGAAGGAAAGCUGCAGCAAACUAACUACUCGUAGAGGCAAUCAUAUCAUGACGUCAUCCUGACGACGCAUCUAUUUUACCGUCUGUGCUUGUGUGUGCGUGUGAUUAAGAGCGUCGACGAUUCCCAAAUGAUAUCCCACAUUGUCGGAGGUUCGUCCAAUUGUUUUUAGUACCGAUUCAUUAACUGGAAAAAGAUCAUUACCGCUAAUUGGACUUGGUGAACCAUCAUCUGCAGACGGAUUGCUUGAAGAGGAUAGGGGGACAUACGGACGAAGAAUCUGUACGGAUAAACGACAUUUGUUUCAUGUCACACCUGCUGGAAAGGCGCGUAUCGAACAAGAGGGCCUCAGCCGCUGUAUGCGCUUGUGUGCGCGGCACGUCCUGCAUGCUAGCAACGCUCUAGCACCGUGUUCGCACAUCCAUGUGCAGCCCCCGUAAAAAGCUGUUGUGAGGGCAAAAGGGCUUCGUAAGCCUUCCCUGUCCCAAAUCCUUUAAGUAGCUUUUACCUAACUGCAAGCUUCAGCCCAGCUACACAUCCCCUUGUGUGAAGGUUCGCGAAAAUAUCUUCCAGCUCUUGACACGCCUGGGACAGAGGGGAACCUGAUGGUCAUCCUCUGCCCAGCUAGGUACGUGUCCUGCCUGCCUAGCUAUGCCCGCCAGCCGGUGGCUCGAGACACCUCUCAGCCGCAAUUCGGAAAGCUGCUCCGCUAACCCCACCCCACCCCACCAGCAGCUUCACUCGUUCGUGGUUCGUCUUUCCCACCCCACCCUCACCCCACACCGGUCCUCUUACGUCAGACACCCUACAUGUCGGUCAGGAUACUGAUACGCAGUGUUGAAAUCGCAGCCCUCGCCACACCGCCUCACUCUCACCUAACGAACACCACCUCACGUGUCGGAGUCUGUUCCCUUCUUUUCAAACUUGUUCCCCGCCCCCUUCUUCCCUCCCCCUUCCCUUUCCCCUUCCCCACCUUCCCCUUCCCCGCCACCACCUUUUCCACUACCUUGCCCCUCCCCUUCUUUUUCCCCCUCUCCCUCCCCAUCCCCCUCCUCCACCCCAUCCUCCUCCUCCUCCCAGUCCUCCCCCUUCUCAAUCCGCUCCUCCUCCUGCAGAAGCUCCUCCACAUCUAGCUCGACCGCCACAACCGCCGCAUCCUCCCCCCCAGCCUCGCUGUGUGCCGGGUUAUUCCGCACCGGCCCGUGGGUCGCUCGCGACGAGGCGGCGUACACCACCCUCCCGAUGACCGCCGAAAAAGGGAUGUGGCCGUACGAGCGGGAGUCAAUGACCUCUCCCGCCUCGGGCCGCAACUCGGAAUUAUCCGCCAGCACCCAACAGUGUCCGGGGGGGAUGAUGAAGGGGGUCUCCGUGGGGGAGGUGGAAACCAUCUCGUCGCCCUCCACCGCAGCCACCCGCCGGACCUACGUGUGCUCGGAAGAGGGAGCAGGUGUGUGCAUGUGUAUGGGGGAAGGGGAGGACGGGGACGGGAAAAGAAUGGGCCGUGACGGGUUGGACGACGACUGGCAGACGACGAAAGAAUAAUGGUCAAGGCGCCUCCGCGAGUGGGUACACAUAGUUUAAGAAGCUGGGGUUGUGCGGGUGGCGAUUCGUGUAUGGAUGGCUGUAUGGAUGUACGGAUUCGUACGGGCGGUGGAGAAGAGGUAGGGAUGCUUCAGGGACGCGUGUGCGCGUGGGACGAGAUGAUAAAAAACACAACCCUACUACCCGCACUUUCCCCCCCCUUAACCCCCACUUACCCCACCCAACUAACCCGGCCAGGGUGUUGCGUGGCGCUCAGUAAUAUCAGGGGGGAGUACAACGCACCCGGGAGGUCAAGUCCCCCCCCCCGACCCACCCAACCCCCGAUGAAGCAUACCCCCGAAACGGCACCCCUACCUCCCCCCCCCUCACCAUCACAUGAGUAGCAUCUUCCGGCAGUGCGAGUGGCGAGUGAAAGGCCACCACAUCGCCGACCAGCACGUUGUGGGGCCCCGGGCGGCGGAGUAAUCGAACCACCAACCGUUCCCGGGCGGCGGCGUCCUGUUGGCAGGGGUGUGUGUGUAUGUAUGUAUGUGAUGUGCGGGGAAGAAGGGCCACACGUGCUAAUGAUGAAGUGGCGUCAUCUGCGGUUUUUUGGCUCAUCAGCGGCUGUAGCAGCAGCACUAAUAGCAGCUGUUGUUGUUGCUGCUGCUGCCGCCUGAGGGACGGAUCGGGGGGAAAGGGGUGGAGGAGGAGGGCGGCGGGAACCACGGACCCCAACACAAGGCCUUCCCGCAGUUCCUCUACCCGCUCUCUGCUCCGUAUUCCCCUUCUUCCUGUCUCAUCUCCUCCCUCAAGCCCUCAUACCAUGAAGUGGACCAGGGCCCCCUCCUCACCCUUGACUCCAUUACCUCCGUUACAAUUCCCUUUCAUACUCGCCGCAGUUGGGCGCCGCAAUUAGCUAGGGGUUGCCGGGGUCAACUGGCAAAGCAGGUUGUCCGGACAUUUGUUGUUUUCAGGAUUGGUGCGGUGCGGGCCCCCCGUUCUCAGGACUUCUCGGCUGCAUGAAGCCUGUUGAUGGAAUUCUAUGGCUGUAUAUAUACAUAUAUAUGCUGUUUUGUUGUUCGCCGUACACGUUGUUGUACGCCCCGUACGGCCCUCCUAAUGGUGUGUCGUCGCGUGCUACUACAUGUCGCUUCCUUUUUACAUAUUUUCUUUCUUUCGUUGGUCGUUAGGCUGCCUGAUGAAGUUUUCCUGGUCCGGGAAAUUUAGCUGCGUAAAGUUCAAACGCUGCGAAACGCGACGCCAUCAAUCCGGCGACAUCAGGUCGGGCGCUAUAAGAGCUCUUCACCCCGCCCCCUCUCGCGGCCUCCUCCCCACCCCCAACCCCACCCCCAACCCCACCCAACCCAAACCCCCACCCUACCCCUACCCCCACCCAACCCAACCCCCACUCCCAACCCCACCCCCACGCGCACCUUGGCGCCUCGCCAGUUGAGGGUUGGAGCCAUGGCGGGACCCGUCAGGUACAUGUGCUGCGUCAGGGGAGCGUCGUACACCUCACGUGCGCGACGGUACGCUGCUUGUACGACACCCAAGACUCCGCCGCUGUUGCUACCGCCGCUACUGUGGCUCCCGCCUGCUGUAGGGUUCUUCUUCUCCUGCUCUUCUCCCGAGUGAUGAAGCGACCCACGGGUCGGCAACCUCGGGGAGAGGGGAGUCCAUCGGUCGGUGCCCGGCUGCCGACCGCCCAGAUUGUUCGCUUGAAACACGGAGAAGACUAACUCCUCUGCCGCGUCCCGAAACUUAGCUAAUUUGUACCUGGGGGCAUGGGCAGACGGCGCCCAGUGAUUUUUUAAUUUCGAAAUGAUUAGAUCUUUAGUUUGAUGUUGGGUUUUCAUGAAGCGCAAUGAGGGGAGAAGGGGGAGGAAGCAAAAUAUGCGCACGAAUGGAACUGCAGCUCGACACUUACAGGAGGAUAGGGUACGGCAUAGCGUCGCGUCGCAUGGCGUGGCGUGAUCAAAGCCCACAUACGUCUCUGCUAAGCAGCAGUGACUGUAAACAUACCUGAAAGACAGGAAACCUCUGGUGUUGGAUGCUGCCAUCUUUGCGUUGUCAACGCGGUUCUGCCUCCUUUAUGAUGCGUCGCGGAAUCAGCCUCCGCCUAGGUUUGCUUAGUUGAAUGUCAUAGCAAUGCCAUUGAUAAACCUACGUUUAACCUGGAAAUUUUAUAUUGUUCGCAAAUAUGAAUGCGGUGCUUUUACAUUCGGCUCGAUUUAAGCUUAAGUUUGAGCAUGCUGUACACUAAGUUUAGGUGGGCUCACUCUCCGUCGUGGGAAAGAAUACAUUUGCAUUUGCGACAUUCUUGGGCGGACAAGUGUCAACAUAGUCUACACCAUUCCCCAACCGAAAAUCCGUACGCUUACUGCAUCUUCCGGUUAUGUGACUGCUUGCCGCUAUGCCUUCACCACAAGUGUAAUUCUAUAUAUCUCAUCCUGUAUUUUAAUAUGUAUGAAGUAUAUGGCUAAACGCUUGACAUGGCUAACCUGCGGCCCCUGGGCCACCACGCAACCGUGAUAAGCGACAAGAAGAUAGAAACCUCGCGGGUAUCGAGAAUGAACUUCCAGGACUGUCGACACCUGGCGACAGCUUAUAGCAAAGUCCGAACGCCGUCACCCGCUGUUUUUGCAGCUUGCGCAGCUUCUUGGCCGUCACCCAGUAUCUCGUCAUCAGUAGCUCUUUGUCAAAGUUAUCGCUGCAACUGCAAUUGCCGGUCGGAUAUUGGCGGCAGUAGCUUGUCGGCAUGGGCAGCAAUUCAGCCCACGAUUAGUAAACCUGCAGCGCGUGAUAAGUGUCAAAGCGGUCGCCAAAAGAUACAGAGCUGUCGGUCAAGCCUCCCAGGAGUGCGGCCUGGAGCACUUUUUGCUCACAGCCACCGUGGCAGCGGCGGCCUGUACGACACCUCAGCUGCGGCGACUUCACCACCGGUCUCCCCGUCCGCGACAAGCACAUCAUCAACCCACAGACAGCUCUGCACAGCUGCAACCCGCACGAUAACUCUGUCACCACCACAACGUUCAUCCAACCCCGCCGCUUCCAUCCAUCCCCCUGCCGCGCUGCUCGCUCGGCGGCGGCACAGCGUUCCCACAGCCACCGCCAACGCACCAGCCGCCGCCGCCAGCAGCCCCGAGUCCUCUACAGUACUGCAGCCCGGCGACGUUGACGAGCUGCUGUACACUCCCGGCGAGGAAGUGCCGUACUACAUGGGCCCGCUAGAGCUGCGAGAUGUGCCGGGUGGGAAACUCUAAGCAAUGUCGUUCACCCCUCUUCACCCCCUUUUCCUUAAAAGAUCCCUCCCUGGAUCCCGGUCCUGCCGCCGGCCUCACCCCUGGGACCGUUACAAAAAAAAAAGAAAACCGACACUCGCUUACACUUUUAUCCUUAAUCACACAAGUAGUCAAGGUCGUGCCAAGGUGGUGACACCGGAUGCAAUACACCAGCGAGAAGAUUUAGCGUUCCGAUGUACGACCCGUACUAUUGUACGACGGCGCAAGCUGAAAAGUCUCAGGAUUUAACCACCCGAACCCCUUCGAUAAUCACACCAAAAAUCAAAAUAUUCAGAGAUAUGUAAUUGCUCUUGCACGUUACAUUUUUGCAGCCCAGCCUUCCCAUCGCCUAUCUCAUCCCCAUAAUAACAUCGAUAACGUUCUUCCACCACUACCACCUGAACGCAACUCCCCCAUGCCCGCCAGCGCACCCCAUCGGCAAUGGGUCCUUAGCGCGCCUCAUUUCAAUCCUUGCUGUAUUGGUUUCCCCACCGGUAACUCCUCCGCCCGGUAGCCCCCUGCGACCGUAAAACACACACGCGGCCCCCCCCCUGUGGUUCGUCUUUUCCCCCCGGCCCCAGCAGAUGCCGGCGUGGGUGUGUUUUUGACAAAGGACGUGACGUGCGGCACGCUGCUGCUGGCCUGCUACCCGCUGGCGAUGCUACGGGGCCGACCCGUGGGUCAUCACAGCGACCCAUCUUUCGCCGGCCCUGCGGCGGCGCCGCCGCCGUCACCUUUAGAGCUGGCGCAUGCGUUAGACGGCGCCGUCAUGAGUCCCCUCGCGGCGGCCUGGAUGCUGGCACUGUACGACGGCGUUGACGACGGCGAUGACGACGACGACGGCGACGGCGUGCCCAGUGGCGGCGGGGGCAGCAGCCGUACCCGGAGGCGGCUGGGUCAGUUGCGGCAGUUGUUCCGGGUGGUGAGACUUUCCGGGCUUUCUCCCUGAUAGGUUGCUGCUACUGCUGCUGCUACUGCUGUUGCUACUGCUGCUGCUGUUGCUACUGCUACUGCUGCUGCUGUUGCUACUGCUACGGCUGCUGCUGUUGCUACUGCUACGGCUGCUGCUGCUGCCCGUGCGGCUCCUGAGGCGUUGCGGAGGGAGGGUUGGAGCCCGUGUUAUUGAAUAUUCGGUAGGGGGCCCUCACGCUUCGAUGCACACAAGACACACGCACACACAUACAUACAUACAUACAUACAUACAUACAUACAUACAUACAUACAUACAUACAUACAUACAUACAUACAUACAUACAUACAUACAUACAUACAUACAUACAUACAUACACACCAAAAAAACAGAGAGGCAGGCACACGUAGAGAGGAAGAGAGAGAAAGACUGGGAGGGCCCUUUUUCAUCCCCGUGAACAUGACUAGGAGUAGGAGUAGGAGUAGGAGCUACUGCGUCCGCCUGGGUGGAACUGGAGGGAUUGCCGGUGGUGAAUGUACGGCACUUGCGGUGUCUGGAUGUGUAAGUUCAUUUCGUCGACGGUGCCCAAAAGCCGAUACAGGAAACGUUGUACGAGGGGUACGGCAUUUGCAAGUCCACACAUCACCCCGCCACCCUUUUCGACAUCUCCACGCGGCCUCGUACACAGCCCACGGUCACACAGUCCUACAGUGUCCAACCUCCCCCGUUACAACCUCCCCCGCAUAGAUAUCGAUGAUUAUUUCCGUCCGUCGACCUCCAUCGCCGCUGCCGCACUCUCGAUUUGCCGCAGCCUUUCGGCGCCACAGCAGCUGCCGCCCCGGACGAGGGGGACGAGGGGGAGGAGGAGGCUGCCGGGGGGGCUUCCUCCGGCCGGCGGCAGUUGGGCGUUCGUUGUCCGUUGCCUGACGAGGCAGUGGCCCGAGUGGUGACGUUUAACGCGUACGGAGAAUCCAAACCAGAUCCAGCGGUGUCGGCCGUCAGGUCAGUGGGGAGGGGAAGGGGGGGAGAGGUAGGACGGUAGGGUUGACACCGUCGUACGACAACAACUACUGCACGAAAAUCACGUCAUGCGCCACCGCGCCACUUGACAGCCUGUGAAACCUUGGGCCCUCCCACCCUCAACACUCAGAAAAAUAAAAGAUGGAAAACCCGAAAACCCUAAACCCCCAAAUCCUGGCGACGCAGGUCGCUCUCCGCGGAGCUCCUGAGCGGCUGUGUGGGGCUCUGGCCGCCCUUCAGUCUCAUCAAUCACUCUUGUGCGCCUGUGGCGUCGUACGGCCUAGUGGGUGACGUCAUGGUCGUACGCGCCGCCGCCGACUUGCCCGCCGGCCAGCAGGUCACGAUCAGCUACUUUGGCCGCCGCGCUCUGGGCCCCUUGGAGCUUCGUCGCGCCUACCUGCGCCAGCAUUACGGGUUCGUGUGUGCGUGUGAAAGAUGUGUUUUGGAAGCUGCGGGGUUGGGGGAGGGGGAGGGGGAAGGGGAGGCGGGGGGAGGGGAACAAGACGUGGUGGCGGCGGCGGCGGCGGCGGCGGCCAAGAUUCCGAAAGAGCUGCCAGGUUUUAUAGAAAACCUGCAUACUACCUGCAGCCGCGUGGCGGCGCCGCACCUGUACGACAUGCUGACGGGACGGAGAUGGGCGACGGCGGCGGCGGCGGCGCAGCCGCCGCCGCCGUUUGGCAGUGGCCCCGCGUUUGCCGUCCCCCAGGACGAACCGGUUUCGGAGCUUGUUGAAGAGCUUUCGGAGUUGUACGGCUACCUGUCGGAGAGCUGGCAGCAGCUGCUGCGUGCGGCAGCGGCGACGACGGCGGCGGCGGCGGCGGGGUCCGAGGGCGAAGAGGAAACAGCCAGGGAAGAGGAGGAUGGCGCUGAUGGCAGCAGCAGCGGCGGCGGCGGCAGCGGUGGGGUCCUAUCGCAGCAGGAGGUGUUGUGGCUGGAAGGCAGUGUAUUCGUGUUGCUGGACCAGCUGCUGGUGGUGGUGGGGGCGCUGGGCCUGCUGCAGGUUGUGCAGGAAAGGCAGCAACAACAACAGCAACAGCAACAAUCGCCGCGACGAAGCCGGCGGCGGCAGCAGGACGCGGAUGCAGGAGCCAGUAGCGGCAAGGGCCGCAAGGCGAAGGGGAGGCCGCUGCCGCUGCACAAAAAAGCGACGGCCGGGGUUAAAGGUGGCGAAGGCGAAGAUGAUGAUGGCACCGUCGUUAGCGACGGCGGCGGUGCUGCCGUGGCGGCGGCGGCGGCGGCGGCGGAGCCUCCGAUGUUGGCGGCGGCUACUAUGCGCGCGGUGGCGGCGCGGCGUUGGCGCGUGGAGGAUCUUCCCCGCAGCUUCCUGCUGCCGUACGUGGAUCUGCUGGCGCAGGCGCAGGAGGUCGCGGCGGCGGUGGCGCCGGGAUCUGAUCUGGCGGUCGCUUGCGCCGUACGGCUCCUGUACGGAAUCCAGGCCGUACUGGGACCGGAAUCGGACGAGUUCCAGCAGGCAGAGAUAAGUUGCUACGACGCGCUGUCGGCCCGGUACGGCGUUCUCGAGUACGACACAUAUGAGCAGAUCCUCGAGGUUUGCAGCGAGUUGUACGGCGCCCGGGAGGUUCGGCUGCCGGGGCUAGUCGGGGCGGCGGCGGCAGCACCAGCACCAGCAUCAUCAUCGCCGCCGCUGCAGCAGCAGCAGUGGCUGCCGUCGCGGCCGCAGCCAGCUGCAGCGGCGGCACCGUUGUCGUACCUGUUGAACGGCAGGAUGGAGGAGGGCGGGAUGGUGGGUCUCAGAUUGCCGGCUGUGCCUGUGGAGGCCGAGGUGGUGGUGGUGGGGGGGGGAGAGUGAGACACGCGCGCGGCGGUGCUUUGGGGGGCCGGGCAACAGGACAUUUACAUACGUAUAUACAUACAUAUAUAAAGGCAGGCGGCUGGCAGAGGUUAAGGCCUGACUUCUGCUCCCGGCCGACCCGGGUUCAAAUCCGCCUGCCGGCUCCUGGGGUGCUUAAGGAGUGAUGAAAUGGGAGGUGGCCCCCCAUCAUAUGGACGAUGUAGGACGUGAUAAAAUCAACUUGCAAGCUGACCAGGAACGAAGUUGAUGCGCCGUUGAUCCGCUAGAUUUGGUUGGAUGCUGGUGGUGAGUUGCCGAACCCAACGAAUACAUUCUGAAGUCGGAUGGGGUGACGGAUUAGGGUGCCCGUCUAGCAGGGGAGAGCAGGGACUGCCCGGGAAAGGGGCCGCUGGCGAAGUUAACCAACCUGUAACAACAUACAUACUUACAUACACGAUGCGAGAGAGUAAAUCGGCAGCGUGUCUGUAAUCAUGAUGCGGUUCCAGUCAACAAGCUGUCGCUUCCUGCACUCACGGGCCCUAUGUCGCCCUUUCGGAGCCGUUGGCAGCCCCUUAGAACCUUCGAUUGUUUAGUUGACAGCUUAACAGCGCCCUUUAUCGAUAUCGUGUAAGGGACUCGAGAGCUCGUUACACGACAGGGGACACGAGUGCACCUAAGAAUUUCAUUAUGUGGGCAACUAUUUUUUUUCGUUAGCGCUGAGCACUGCUUCAAGCUGCCAGCAAUAAUAUAUGAGUAGCAUUUGGGCACAAGGCAAAAGAAUAACGAAAAUUCAAGGGUCUUACUGACCCAUGGGUCCAGCCGUCGGUAGGUGGAUGUAUUCGGCCACGGGGCGUUCUUCGCCUUUUCGCCAUCUUUAAAUUUCCGGGUAGCUAAGAUAUGAUCGGUCGUCGUUUCUUCCUAUUGCAUGAUACAAAAGGUCGCGAACAUUUUGCGCGCCUUUUGUAAGUAGUGUUUGUGGUACGGACAAGGAAAUAAAGAUGGAGUUCCUGUGACGGCAUCCGCCCGGCGGCCUCCGGGGCUUUGUAAAUGUUGUAUAUGAUUCCAUGUAUGGUUACGCGCUGGUUCCAUUUUUGCGAGCUGGCUGACUUUUACUGUCGUCACUUUCCUGAGGGAGGGAUUUCCAAAUAAAUACUCGCAGACGCAACGAGAAAUUUGCCUACAGCAACAAAAAAAAGUAAGCCACAGAGGAAAUGGCGGACACGGCACAGCAACAACAACAACAACGGUAAGCGGCUUAUAGGGGUUGCUUUGGUAUGGAAUGAGCUUUGGCCAGGUGGCCGCGAGCUCAGGCGGCGCCACCUUUUGUUGACGCGCCGCCCUGCUGCAAGACGUGCACGCAAGCCUUCCGUCCAGAGCCUCCUCUCAAAGCAAAACGUAAAUUCUCCAACAAAAGAAAAAUCUGUGACUUCCUUGAAGGCGCAUCGACAGUUGGUUUUGUAUCAAUUUGUCUUCUGCACAGAGCGGCUGGCUGGCUCUACGGGCUCUACUUCUGCCAACCUGACGCAGUCUGCGUUUUCAGCUUUCGUCCGAUCACAGAGCACGCCACGAGACACCAUUUUGCUGCCAAUUUUUUGUGAAAAUCAACGUCCUUCCUUAGUCCUUUAGAAAUUCAAAAUUCCUAACAGCGGCACUGCUUUAGCCUUUACAAAGCAUGUACUUUUCCCAAGUUCUUCUCCUCCUCAAUUCUCCCUCCAAUAUAGUUGCAUUGGAGGCUCCUCCGCUGAAUCAUGCCGUACUGUCUACCACCGAACAGGAACCCAGGCGAAGUAACACCACCCUCGCAGCCACCUCCGCCAUGCCCAGUCAAGUCACUGGCGCAGUUCGGCCAGCUGGCCAAGGACGUGUUGUACGGCAAUCGCGUGGAGGGCCUGUACGGCACCGCCGGCGUGUCCAAGUUCAUGAUCUCGAGCACGAACGGUCGUGGUCUGUCCCUGACCACCACAGCCACCACCACCUCUUCGUAAGUCGUAAGUCGUAAGUCGGAGGCGGGGUGCUGGUGGUAUCCAGAAUGAAUAAAUAAAGGAGACACCAAGAAGGGUUAGGGGCAGGGGAGGGGUUAGGGGAAGGGGAGGGGGGAGGGGUUAGGGGGAGGGACUCUCCCUGGACCGCCGAUGGCGCCCACAUCAACUCAACAGUCUCACCUGAACACUGAUUGCCUGAUUGACACACACACCGGUUUGUCAGUAAUUGUUUUUAAUUGUUCACGAACUGAUCUUUUUUCCCUUCCUGACAAUUUCCGUCUUUUCUGUCGUAUGUAGCUGGUAAUCACAAAAAAUAUGUUAUUAGUCGUGAUCGCGGCGGUAUGUAUAAUCAGUUAUCAUAAUAAUGUUGAGAUAAUUAUUAUGGCGACUAGGGGGUGAAGGCAAGGGGUGAUUGAACGAUGGUGGUGGUGGUGGUGGUGGUGGUGGUGGUGGUCAUUCGCCGGUGCUGCAGGGGCAGCUCGGGGCCCCUGGCGGGGCAGCUUCUCGCCAGCUUCACCUCCCCCUCCCGUACGGGACCCUUCAUGGCAGACCUGCUCGUCACAACAGGGGGCGUGGCAGAGGUAAGAUGUCUCUUGAUUUUUCGCGCGCAUGUUUGUACACACUACCCAACUAGAAACGAACAAAGACCCACAUCCCACCCAAACCCACCCCACCCUAAUUGCUGUAUCAUCACCGAUGUGAGGUGUACGGCAGUACGACGAGGGUCCGCGAGGGUUUGGAGCCCGGGCUCGUGGCCCCUCCCCGCCCUAAGCACAUACACACCCCUCUCUCCCCCCCCACACACACACAACCCCCAAACGCCCCCUCCAGAUAUUUCCCCCCCACCCCUCACCCCUCACCCCAUUCUCUCUUUUCCCCCUCAUCCCUUUCCCACUAGACCUGCUGUUGAAUAGGGUAGCGCGCCUCUUGUUCUUCUUCUUCUUCUUCUUCUUCUUCCCCUCUCACCAGCCGCCCUCGCGCCCACACGUAGCCUAAAGCCCCCUAAAAAUCUCUUUAGAAGCCAUAAACCCCCCACAGCACAUACCCGGCCCACAGCACAUCCCGGUUCCGUUUGGCCGCUCGCUGCCCUCUCGUGAACACGUCCUCUCGUGAAUUCUCCUCGCCCUCUCAGCCCCCUGCGCUUGUGCCUGUGUGCCUGUGUGCCUGUGUGCCUGUGUGCCUGUGUGCCUGGCCUACCUCCCGCAUUCACGCUGCCAUGUAGGCCACUGUCAGCCAUACCUUCACAGUGCCAGUACCAGCACCAGCACCAGCAGCAGCAGACAGAGGCUCUGAGCCGACCGCCCCGCCGGGUAGCCAAGCGGGCAAGCUGGUGCUGGGGGGCGUCGCGUCGGUGCCGGCACUAGCGGAGAAGUCGAAGGUGUGGCCGCCCAAGGUACGUUGGCCGUUGGGGUUUUAGGGGAGGAGUGUGCGGGCAGUACACUUGUCGUACUGCGACACGGCUCCUUCCGCAAUACCUUCCUUUGGACCUUUUUCUAACUCGUCGUUCGUGUUCUGCCUGGAUGUGCGUAUGUAUGCAUGUGUUCCGUGCGGGGUACACGGGCGUACGGCAGGUGACACUGGAUUACGUGGGCAACUACCUGCACAUCAAGACGAGCUCCUCACUGGGGCCGAAACCGCUGAUUAGCGCCGCCGCCGUGGGGGGGACUGGCCGGGUGAGCUGGGAAGAAGGGAACAGAGGUGGUCCUGUCUUUAAUUUUUUUCUUUCUUGGUUAUUUUACCAAUUUUAUUAUUUGUUAUUAUUUGUUUUUAUCAUGAUUAUUUAUUUAUAUUGUUUACUUUUAUAAAUAAAUAAAUUAUGGGGGAAGGCGUUGUGUUGGGGAUGGCGAAGUGACUUUCAAAUUUAGGCGGCGACGGGACAACGCGUGGUGGGAAGAAGGGGUGGGAAGAAGGGGUGGCAAGAAGGGGUACAAACAGAAUGAGGAAAAACAUACACGCGGGCCGCCCGCAUACCUUAGACACGCUCUGCUGGUGGCAUGGCGCUCGGAGCCAGGCUUCUGUCGUACUGUCGUACACAGGUGGACGUUGGCGGCGAGGCGGCGUACAGUUCCUCCGCCCUGCGCGUAACAAGUUGGACUGCCGCCGCCGCCUGGCAUGACGAGAGGCAGCAUGUCGAGCUGCAGCUCAGAGGCAGUGGCGUCGUCGGCGUCGGCAGUAGUAGCAAUGGCGGCGGCAAAGCGACACUUCUGUACGGCUACAGCCUUAAGCCCGGCGUGGCAUUGGGGCUAGAGGCGGUGGCGGAUCUGAAGCCGGCGAUGGAGGCGUUCUUCGCCCCGCCGCCGCCGCCGGCUACUGCUGGUGAUGGUAAUGGUGGCGGUGCUAGCGGAGGCGGCGGCGGCAAAUCUGGCGCCGGCACGGCACGUGCGGCCGCAGCGGCGGCGGCGCCGCCGGCGUUCGCUAUUGGGGCGAGUUUCAAGGUGCCGAAAAAGGUAACCCGUAUGACCUAGUUAGGCAACGAAGGAUGCGGGUGGCGCUGAUCGGGGCCCUAGUCCCCCGCGUGCACGUGUUGGAAAUCUGAGCCACGUGUGUGGGUGCGUGUGUGUAUGUAUGUGUGUGUGUAUUCUCCGUCCUUCACAAGCACAUGAUGUCAGGCCCCUCAACCCAACGACGACGCCAUGGUGAUGGUAGUUCCGCUGGCUGCCACUGGCCAGUCGAGUGUUCACGUGUUUAGCCCUAGGUUGGGGAGGUGUUAGCGCAUAACAUCGGCGAGAGCCGACAGGUUACGGGACGGAUUCGCUCCGUCAAGGUCUGGGCUCUGUUCUGAGUAAGGAGCGUUAGGCGCGUAGGCUUCUAGAAUCUCUCUCACUAUAUCGGAAGAUAUCUAUCCCAGGCUUCCUCCCGAGUAUAAAUACUCGUUGCUAAGGAGGCCGUAACAACUUCUAUUGUACGAUGUCUCAUCAGGUCUACAUUGGUUGCCCAAACCGAUGUGUCUGGUGGUAUCACAAGUGCGUGUCAUUGCUUGGUUAGGAAACACUCUCCUAAACUCCAAGAUAUUCAGUCGUAGACUGUUCGUAGAUCAGUCUUAUCAAGUCGUGUCUUAAUCACACAGCGAUUAAGUUCUGUAACGCUCUAACGCGCUACAACAGGAGGGGAAGGGGGUGACACAUCGCUCGUACAGCGUACGGCGUACGGCGCGUGUAUGGAGUGUUGAAAUAUACCGCAACGCUAGACUUUGUAAGUUCGACUUGCGGUAUAUAUAUAUCCACUCAACACUCCGGGUUGUGGACUCUCCCUCGCCCCCUGCUGAUUGGGGGAGGAACCCCGCCCGCGCCUCUCCGGGCUCUUCGUGUACCCUCUGUGUGUGCGUAUGUAUGUAUAUACAAGUUACAAGUUCCGCACACAAGUGCGGGUGUGUUCGUAAAAGCCGGGUGUGCCAUGGACGUUGUGAUGAUAUUGAUGCGGGUACGCUGGAGGUCAUCUUCAUUCUCCCUCGACCGCUUCAAGGCAAAGCGCCUCAGCUGGCGCGAUAUGUCUGACUUCCUGAACUUCUGAAAGGUGCUUGGCCAAUGCCAGGAGUGGCGCCUCAGUCAUAACGUUGCACAUGCUCCACCCCUCACACCUAUAAUUCCAUAAUUUUUACUGCCUGAGCUUUGAUGAGAACUGCGCCACCAGGGAGUCGAACCCCGCUCUUUUGCUUGGAAGGCAAAUAUCCUACCGAUCGACUAGUGGCGCACAUGAUUUUUAGGAGCCACAUAUGUAUGGAUACAUGUAAAACUAUGUAUAUAUAUCUAUCUAUGUACAUAUGUAUGUUUGUGUGCCUUUCCAUCCCGCGGGGACAUGGGGGGGGGGGAAGUAGGCGGCCGCCGGCACCGGCACCGGCAGAGGGAGCGGCGGCGGCGGCGGCGGCGGAGUCGUGAAAGUCAAGAUCUCCAGUCGCGGUGUCGUAUCACUGCUGUACAGGGACACACUGGCGGCGGGCCCACGGGUCACUUUCACGGCGGAGGUGCGGGGGGGUAGUUGAGGGGGUCGGGGCAGGGGCCUCUGUCGCCCGGGUCGGGUGUGUGGUGUCUAUUAGAGGGUAUUGAAGGGGGGGAGAGGGAAGGGUGCGUCAGGGCGGAUGUGUACGGCGCUAGUGCUUAGAUAACUCCUUUCCACGCGUACUUUGAUACACAACUCUCCCCCUAUCACCCCCACCGUUUUCCCCUCCCGAUGACUUCAUCGCUUUGGACUCAUUCCCUCCCUGGGGCCAGUUUCGGACUUUGGACGCCUUCCGGCAGUUCAGUUCCGAACUCCUUGCGGCUUUGAGUGAUUCCCCCCUCCCCCCCCCCCACACACACACACCCGGAAUCUCCCCCUCCUGUGAAUCUACCUCCCCCGCGCCGCCCUGUCCAGGUGGACGGUUUGAACCCCGGCACACGGCCUCGCCUAGGACUGCAGCUCGAAGUGUGAAAAACGACAUAGCAGCAGAAACAGCCGCAGCAGUAGAGGAAGCUACGGUGCGGAAGAAUGCUCUGCUAAGAGCCCGUCUUCUGCAUCCCAUGUGCUUUUUUUGCAAGCUGCACCUCUCCUAGGAUAAAAAUGUCGCCAUGUGGAGGGCAAAUAGUUGUUUGUUGUUGCUCUCGCCGCCUUUUCCUUUUUGUGGUGUGGCCGUCGUUGUGCGUUGGUGUGGUGUGGUGUGAUGAGGUCGACUGUGAUGAGGUCGAGGUGGCGGUGGGUGGUAGUGGUAGCUUCACCGGUUCCAAGAUAGGUAUAUGGUUCCUUUCUUUGAUAGACUCGCCUGGUCAGGUAUUUGCAAUUAUUACGGCUUCAUUUCAUUUGCCUUUGCACCUUUUUAUGCUAGUUCACACAUCACCACUGGACUACUAUAAUUUUAAAGGAAAAGGUAAUAUUACUCUUCUUCAGAUAUCAUGGUGGAGAGAUUACCAGCAAGUUAUGUGAUAUUACAAAACUUCCAACCUUAAGCGAUAAAUUUGGCUGGGACGAAAAUGAGUCAAAGAGUCAAUGCCGCUUUCUCCCCCUCUUCUUCCCCCAUUCCCCGCGGAGCAAUGUGAGAGACUCGACGCCACCCUCAUCCACCAACCACACUCCGUUUCGGAGCACAGUUUUUUUGGGUUUGCAUUUUGGCAAAGCAACUAAUAACCCAACCAACCAACCAACCAACGAACGCGAGGUGGUGGCGACAAAACCAUUCUCCAUCGUAGUAGCUGAUACACCCUUCCAAGCGAAAAAUGAAAAACAUGGCAUGAAAUGGCAUGUACGUAUUCGCUAUGUGCAUGUGCCAAAAUUCCUUUUUAUACGUGACAUACAUACACAUAUACCAAAACAUAACCACCCUAACCGCCGCGCGCCUCCUCCUACUUCAACCCCCAGCACCCACCGGUGCUAUCGUGGCGAUUAUUCCCCCCCCCCCAAAACAGGGGGGGGGUCGCCGCCUUCAAGAACGCCUUUUGGUCAGUUCUACUCCUGGUACACUCUUGCCCUGGCAGCAGCUUCACUCGCUCGUGGUACGACUUUCCCCCAGAAAACACAUUCUCGGGUAUCCCGCCGUGGGGCAGGGCACUAGGGAAUUGGGACGACGUCGAGAAUGCAGUGGCUGUGCUCGUCCAUCACAUCCUCCGCACCCGCAACAACCGUGGGAGGUUGGGAGAUCCCGGAUAGGGCAAAAAGGGAAAUCGGGAAGCAGCAACGACACCCACAGAGCUCCCAACGACCAACCGUUUUAACGACCGUGUGCCCAUACACCGGCAUCAUCGCCCUACACGCACGCACAACACCAUCAUGUACAGGCAUGUGUGUACCGCCACCAGCACCCCGAGAUCGAACACCCCUCCCCCCGCCUUCCUCCCCUCCACCCCGUCCGAAACCCAACACGACUCGUCAGUCAGUAUUCAAUUUUGUGCAGUUGCUGCCCGCCCUCAAACUUCCUCCCCACAGUCUCCAAGUACUGCUCCACACUCCGCAAGUAGGUCUUGUUCGCCGGAGUGGCAGGGAAGCGCUGGAGGGAGGCGUAGGCCUGGGGCGUGGGAGUUGGGAGUUGGUUAGUUGGCGGUUGGGAGUUGCUUUGUUGGGAAUUUUUUGUCAGGUAGAAGCGGCAAAAGAGAAAGACGCAAGGUGGUUGAUAAGCUAUAACGUUGCACAUGAAGGCGGUGACCCAACAGUCCUGGAAAAACCCUUUUGCGUUGCGUUAAACAAAGCAGUGAGAUACUUGUUGGUUGUGGUCAUCUGAUUCCGCACACGCAGACACACGCACACGCACAUACACAGACAGCUUCCCCCUUCUCUCCGCCUUCUUCCCCCCCCACACACACACACAUUCACACCUGGAACAGCUUCAGCCAGUAGCACGACCUCGCCCUCUUGUUCAAGUACUUGAGAGCCACUGCCUGGGCGGCUGCGGCCAUCCGCUCGGCCUGGGGGGGGGGGGAGGGAGGGGGAAGACGAACCACGGGGAGGGAGGGAAAGGGGAGGGAGGGGGAGAGUUGCGAGCAGGAGAAUGGCCUGUGGUGGGCUACAAAGGGGGAAAAGAACGGCGCUGUCCCCUCAGGGCCGCCCCCGGGGGGCCCCCUCACCUCCUUGUCAUUGAGCGAGGCCCACUUCACAGCCUCUAACACGUCCUCAGGGCCGCCCCCCGCCUUCCACACGGGGAUGUAGUGCUGGUAGGGCCUUACGGUGGGGUCGGGAGGGGGCGUCAGGGGAAAGGUGAGGGGUCUGGGAAGGGAAGGGAAGGGGGAAAGGGUAACCGGAGGAGGGGAAAAGAAGGGAACGUAGGGAACAAAUGACAAGAAAAACGAUCGCAAGUCCGUAACCCCACACAUACACAAUCCCGCACACACAACCCACCCUCCUUCAUUUUGCAUUUACUCCCCCCCCCCGAGAGUGCCGGGGGGGUUGCACGGACACGAGGGCCUCCAGAAAAAACGUUAUCAACCCUUCCCCGCGCCCUCCUCUCCCCUCCCCCUCUCUUCCCCCCGCUCCCCUCACCCACUUGACAAGGUGGUAGUAAAAGGUCUUGUACCCGGAGUCCUCCUUCACGAUGAGGGAUCUGAGCGGCANNNNNNNNNNNNNNNNNNNNNNNNNNNNNNNNNNNNNNNNNNNNNNNNNNNNNNNNNNNNNNNNNNNNNNNNNNNNNNNNNNNNNNNNNNNNNNNNNNNNNNNNNNNNNNNNNNNNNNNNNNNNNNNNNNNNNNNNNNNNNNNNNNNNNNNNNNNNNNNNNNNNNNNNNNNNNNNNNNNNNNNNNNNNNNNNNNNNNNNNNNNNNNNNNNNNNNNNNNNNNNNNNNNNNNNNNNNNNNNNNNNNNNNNNNNNNNNNNNNNNNNNNNNNNNNNNNNNNNNNNNNNNNNNNNNGGCGGGCGCGGGGAGGAAACAGGUUGCAGGAGGGCAGGAGGGGGAAGGGACUUCUACUGCAUUGCGUGUCCUGGGUACACAACAUCAUACAGAGAUUUACAGCACAUCUAUACAGCUGUAAAGCGCAGCAAAUAUGCCAAGUUGGCACACUCUCUCUCGUCGUGGUUGAUGACGAGCGGGAUGACAGCGGUGUUCCCCCCGGGAGCCCCCCCGGGGGAACAUGACGGAGGUGGUGUGGGGGUCGGGGGACUACUGCCCAUGCAUGCAGGCUAGUGAGGCCACACACGAGGGUGUAAAGCUACUCUUUUCCCCCCCCUUACUUCCCACACUGCUCAUACAUGUACCACAUGUGUAUCACUCACAUGCAGCAGGUACUUGAACUCGGCGUGCUUCUCCAGGCUGACCCGGGGGCCGCUCUUCACGUCCAGAAGGGCGGGGUGGCGGCGAGCUGCCCACUCCAUGAAGUGAGAUCGUACGGCACACGUCUGCGUCAACAAGGACUCCUGCCGUACGUGUACGUGCGGUGAGGUUGGGUGACGUAGGUGAGGGUGGGGACGUUGGAAAAAGGGGUUGAGCAGGGGGGGAGAAGGUUUUAGGGGUUUUCAGGGGUUAACAAGGCAAGACCUUGAAAUGGGAGGAUGAGGAGCAGGAAAAGAUCUGUAUGCAGGGGAAGCGAGGGAGGAGGGAGGGAGUGCAAAGUUAACCUUUCCCCCCUCCCCCUCCCCCUCCCCCUCCCACCUGACGGCAAAUGGUCGAGUUACGGGCCCCCACCCGCAGAGUGCUGUUGGCCAAGGGGUGGAUGUAACGAUAGUACUUGGAAAACCUGUACGACAUACACACACGCCGUUGUACACACACAACACACGGGAAAGGGCAAUGGAGGCGAGGGCGGCGGGAGGUGGACGGGUGCGGUCACGGACACAUGAGACUGGCAGUGAGAAUACAUGCACCGAGUAACGGCAUUACGCAGCAACUUCACGUCUACCCCCCCCCUCCCCCCUGCCCCCACCGUCCAAACACAAUGGGCUGUCGGUCCGCCCAGGGAUGCUUAGCUGCCAGCUCCUCACAGCCAGCCAGGUACUUCUGUGUGUAUUUCUUAGUGUAGAAGUGGAAGAUCUGAUCGGAGCGAGGAUUGGGUAGGGAGUAGGGAGUGGGUCGGGAAGCUACCAAGGGAAAGCAGGACGCUACCCUGGCAGGUUGCGAACAGCAGCAGGAGCGCGGCGGGAUGCUGAUGGAGACGGAACAGGAACAGUGGGCAGCUGAGGGAUCGUAAAGGUGAUGCCGAAAGUGAUGGGACAAGAUAAAGGAAGGGUGCCUGAUAAGGAGGCCGAGAGAAGGGCCUCGUAGGGAGAGAGAGAGCGGCAAAGGUAGCUAGAUGAGAACGGAAAGGGCAGUGGAGGAGCGCAAGGAGGGGUAGUGGCAGCUGCGGCACGGGCAGCGCGCACAGCAACGAGGUGACUGGUAGGCGGGGUUCUCAGGGCGAGAGGGUGAGAGGGUGAGAGGGCGAGAGGGCGAGGGCGAGAGGGCGAGGGUGAGAGGGCGAGGGUGAGAGGGCGAGGGUGAGAGGGCGAGGGUGAGAGGGCGAGGGCGAGAGGGCGAGGGCGAGAGGGCGAGGGUGAGAGGGCGAGGGUGAGAGGGCGAGGGUGAGAGGGCGAGGGUGAGAGGGCGAGGGUGAGAGGGCGAGGGCGAGAGGGCGAGGGCGAGAGGGCGAGGGCGAGAGGGCGAGGGCGAGAGGGCGAGGGUGAGAGGGCGAGGGUGAGAGGGCGAGGGUGAGAGGGCGAGGGCGAGAGGGCGAGGGUGAGAGGGCGAGGGUGAGAGGGCGAGGGUGGGAGGGCGAGGGUGAGAGGGCGAGGGCGAGAGGGCGAGGGUGAGAGGGUGAGAGGGCGAGAGGGCGAGGGUGAGGCGCCAAACCCCCCGGGGUGCCGGGGCCGCGUCCGGGAGUAUGUUGGGGUGGGGUGGGGUUUAGGAAGUACACACGUCUCUGGUAAACCCUAAGUCCCCGAUCAGGUUGCAGGUGAAUCCGAAGCAGAGAAACAGAACCUCCUCUUCGUUCUAAGGACCGCGGUGCCAUACUUGCGGACGGCUGGCCCUUCCUGCCCCCUGCCACUAGGGUCUUAAUCUUUUGAUCUGAUACUUGUCGCACACAGCACGCAUAAAUGUUAUGUUUCUUCUUUCGCCAUUUGCUCGUCCACGCGUUCCGCAGAAAAGACCUUUCUCUGACUUACUGGAAUCUUGAUUUCCGCGUGCUCGUCCGAGGAGCAGAACCGCAUGACCGGGGGGAUAGGGCCCGGCUGCUGCGCCGCCGUCAGCACCAGCGGCCGAUCCGAGCUGGCGAUUACAAAUUCGAUAUCCGGAAUCUGGUUGCCGUACUGUCUCGCUAGAUCCAGCAUGACGAGCAUGUACGUGAACAAGAUGUUGACAUGGUGGCCCAGCCCUGUUAACUUUGGCUCGUCCACUACGUACGGCACGCCAUCAUAAAACGCGAGUGCCAUGCCUUUCUGCUGGCCGCGGGUAGUGUAUCGCGAGAUCGCGAGGUUCAGGGCUUCUCGCGAGAUACCUUCUGAGUUAUUCCACAGCCGAAGAUCCGCUCCGAUACCAUCGUACAGCUCCCCUAACGUCUCGCAGUACGACAGCUGCUCGUUCAACGGGUACGUGGUAUUGCCGUAAUAGCGCGUCAGAUCGGCCCGUACUGCAGGCAGCAGCAGCAGCAGCGGUGGCGGCGAUAGGAGCACCAGGGAGAGUACCAGGAGCAGCAGGGGGAGGUUGGCGGGGAGGAGGAGCAGAGACUGGUUUCGGAACAGGUGGGGCAACGUGCGGGAGGUGAGGCGGUGGCGGUAAUAGCGGGGCUGAUAGCGGCACUGAGAGAAUUGCUGAUGGAUGGGCGACGCUGGAGACGGCGGUGCUUGUGCUCGUGGGGGGUUCGUUGGGGCGACAUUAUGGGGUGAUGUCACCGCCCGACUGAUGCCGUUGCGGCAAGGCUGUGGCCGCGACACGUAUUCCUCGACGGUGAUGCCUUUAGAGCAAGGGGGGCAGAGUGGCCAGAGUUGUUGUUCUUCGGGCUGUGUGAGCGAGUGUAGCUCCAUGCCGUCGCGGAGCAUCAGUGAUGGAGCGUCCGAGGAGUAUCGCCUUGGCAGCUCGGCAUGAUCCUUCUGCCAAUCGGUAUGCUUGCUUCAAAGCCUCAAAUCAGCACCAGCAGAGAGCUGAACACCUCAAAAUGACCUCAAGGCCAAGUGCCCUGCUGAGCCCCCUUUCCUCAUUCCUGGAUUGUUAUUGUGCCCUGCUUAAAGCACGCCGUAUCAUUCAAUCAUAAUCCUAAGUAACACCUAUGGCAUACGCGGUCAGCUGGCAAUUGGCUAGCAGGUCUGGAACCUAUCAGUCAUUCUUCAUAUUAUUUUUGUGACGGGUAGAAAUGUCCCUUAAAUGGAUGUCCCAUCAAAGAAUCUUUCUGAUCAGAAAAAUAACACCGAUUUGGCGUUAUGUAAAGCUGUACGAGCAAAACCUCUUCACAAGGGCUGUAAUUGAAACAGGAUUCAAAACAUGGAACAUUCAAUAAAAAGUAAACCAGCACGAUGAUCGCCCCUCUUCUCUCCUGCUGAGUGUAAGUUUAAUGACAAUGACAUUAACGAACAACUGUACCGGUAUCGAAAACGGCUAACCAGCGGCAAUGGGCGAAUCGGGGGUCAGGGCAUUUGUUAAGGGUUUUCGGCAUUCUGUGUGUUGCGGUCCCGCUUGGUAUUUUCCAUGCGUAUGGCCGUACCGUUUACCGAACGGACCGUACAGGCAACCUUGGGUUGCUCGUCGACUUCCCCCUUCCUUUCCCCAAUCCAUCUUCCCCAGCCGACAGUGGAAUUUGGCGAGUUGAUUGCUGCAAUUCCAUGUUCCACUACACUACAUUUUCGCGCUUCUGUGCCCGUUGUUGACACCUGCUCGCUGCCGCCAGGGUCGCAAAACAUGGAGUAGGAGCCCCGCCCAAAACGUGCCCACGCACAAAAGAACUAACUCCACCUCCAGUCACCAGUAUCCAUCUGCGCCUUCACCACCGAAACAUCACCCAGACAGACGCAUACAGUCGUUAGAUACAAUGCAGGGGAAACCCUCUGCUUACUGCCACCAUCUCCACCUCCACCACCACGGCCAUCGCCGCCGCCAUCGCUCCGACAUUCCACAACAAGUCCGGGUCAUCUCUACUUUAUCCCGAUGCGCACAGGGCGAGGCCCAGGUUUCACAAACGCCCAGGGUGCGUAGGGCUAUCGCGCGAGAGGGGAGACAUGAGAGAACAGAUUUGGAAAGCUAGCGCUAGGCAUGGGAAGCGAACCGGAAUGGCGAGCGGCAUGGGGAGCAGCUGAAAUGAGGCAUUUGGCUGCGUGCUUACCUGCCUUUACCUGUUACAGACUGCGCAACCUGUAAGUUGCCGUAACGCGCGCGAUCAAUCAGACCACAUCACAAAAUUGACUUUUCGACACCGGUGGCGUUAUUAAAAAUGCAAAACAUUUUUUGCGUUCUCUUGCUCCGAGCCCAGAGCGGAACGUUCUUCCGUACAGUACAAAACCUAUGGAUGGAUUGCCACCUUCAGACACAUGCACAGUUGCCCUGCAUACGUGUUGUUCCGCUUAGUGCCGACUCGGAACCGGAUGAGUGUGCUUCAUCACAAAUUCAGUAUGGAGCUGCCAAUUGAAGCCCCAUAAGGGCUCCUGAAUAAUGCAUCAUAACAACUUUAUCCUUUGUUCUAAUGAAUUGAGGUCCAUUGACAGAGUAUCGACUGCGAAUGUGGACGGCGCAAAUAAUUGCUACGGGGCGCGAUAGAAGGAGCACAGCGGAAAACCGGACGAGGCUUGCAGGAUUGCUUGUAUUUUAUCACAGCAGGAGAUCAUGCUCCCUCUACCUAUCACGGCCCUCGCCCACCUUUUGCUCGGGCACCUGUUACUAACAACAGCCAUCGCCGGUCGGCUUCCCGAUGUGUGCGACAACUAUGAACCACUGUACGCAUCAAUCCACCGUGAUCUGGACAUCUAUAAACGCAACGCAGGCAUAUCACCGAAUUUGAUCUACCGGACCAUGGUCUUGCACAGGUAAGUUACAUCCCUACACACGGCGCCAGAAGUCGCAACAAGCUCCUCGCACGUAUCGCACGUUACACCCUUCCCUCCUCACUUUCCUCAACCUAUUGCUUAAAAAGGUGACCACCUCUGCAUCAUGUAAAGUCCCCUUGCCGGCGGGUCCGACAGGACAUCCUUCCAAUUGAAUCCAUUGAAAUCGGCGCCCUCCCUCCAAUUUCCCGUUUCCACAUCCAAACCCCAAACCCCUAGCUCCCACUUCCAACCUCAACUCCUGAACCCCAGAAUAACGUCUGGCUCGCCCCCUGCCCCAAACCCUCCCCAAACCCCAUAUCCCUAACCCCCUUCUCGGGCCCCCCCACCCCUACCCCCCCCCAAACCCCAUAUCCCUAACCCCUUCCCUAACCCCCUCCAACUCCUCUCCACAGCGCGGGGUACCGCGAGAAGGGCCUCGCGGUGGCGGUCUACCGCGGCAAGGUUUACAUCAUCUCCAACACACGGAGCAUCAGCUUGAAGCGCUUUGGACACCACGUGAGGGGGCGGGGGGCUGGGGGGGUGCGAUGCGUCCUGUGUGGGUGGUUGGGUGGACGGUUGGUUGGUUGGUUGCAAUCCCAACGGAUAGACGGAUGGUUGGUGGUUUGCACGGUGUGUGUGUGUGACCGGGAAGUCACAGACCCGAGCCGGGGACCCAGUAUGGGCAGAAACAUGUUGGCGCUCCCGCACAAUACAUACAUACAUACAUACAUACAUACAUACAUACAUACAUACAUACAUACAUACAUACAUACAUACAUACAUACAUACAUACAUACAUACAUACAUACAUACAUACAUACUACUUAAAUACUUACUGAACACGUGACUUGGCGGCAGGUGGCACUUUGGGUGGCGUACAUCAAAGUACUGCUGGACCUAGAGGAGAAGUACGGCAGUUAUCUACCGGACGUUGAGUUUGUGUGGCACACGAUCGACCGGCCCAUCCGGCUCGUCAACACGACCCCCGGGGGGGAGAACUUCCCGGUGUUUAGGUUCUGCAAGAGUGUCGUACAUCCCGAUAUCCUAGGUAAGCAGCUCCCUGGGUGUACGCUCCGUACCGUGUCAUGCCGUACCGUAUCUUACACCUCUGGUUUGCCAACUUGCUGGUGCCGCUGUGUGGUUGCCCUUUGGCCUCCCGCCUGCGUUCCGGAGCCAACGGAGCGUGUGUGUUUCACGCACCCUCCCUCCGGUACCUCCUCCCCUUCCCAAUUUCGCUCAAUUCCCCUCCACACACACAUACACACACAUAUACACAUAUAAACACACACAUAAACACAUGAAACGCUCUCCCACCCCGGUCUCAUACCCUCUAUUCUCCCCACCCCCCAACCUUCCUGCUUUCAGCCCCCUUCUCCCCUCUCCCUCUUCCUUCCCUCCCCCCCGAAAAAGCAUUUUUCUUGCGAUUUGCGUCGUCUCCUCCUUCCCCUCCUCAGUUACCCCCCCUCCCCCCCCCCGNNNNNNNNNNNNNNNNNNNNNNNNNNNNNNNNNNNNNNNNNNNNNNNNNNCCCCACACCCACUGGCAGCAGCUUCACUCGUGUGUGGUUUGUCUUUCCCCCACCCGCCCCCCCCACACCCCACCCCUAACCCCCCCGCAGUCCCCAACUUCCACUUCUACAUGAAGCCCUACCAGCGGGAGUUCCUGGACCGCAUCCCCCACUUCAACGCGGAGGUACCUUGGGCGCAGCGCCGCCCCAUCGUGUUCGCCAGGUUCUCCGGCUACGUGCGCUACGUGCACCCGGGGGACCCCUCCGCACAGCGCCUGGGUGCGGGUGGGCGGCAGCUGUGCGAGGUGAAGGGAACCACCACCUCCAUCUGCCCGGUUCGGGAGCACCUCCACAACUGGGCGGCCAACUACACGUGAGUACGGGUAAUGGUGGUUGGAGGGUGGUUAUGGUGGUUUGGUUGGGGGUUUAUUGGGGGGGGCAGGUUUUGCGUGCGUGUGUGCAUGUGUGUCUAUGUGUUGAGGGGGGCGGGGAGGUGGGGAGGGGGGACGGAGGCGGGGAGGAAAAUAUGCACUUGAAGCAAAGAGAGAACAAGUAGAGUGCCGAAUGCACCGCGUCCUGAGGUCAAAAUGCCGGAAAGGAGAUCGAAGUGAUGUGGUAGGAGUUGGAGUUUGGGGGGGGGCGGGGGCAGGGUUUUGUUACUUGUCGCCAAGGAUUUGCAGGAAUGCGGUUCUGUACUCGUGUUAUGUGACAUGUGCAAUGUCUCUGUGUGUAUAUGUAUGUAUAUAUGUGAUGUUGUGUGACAUUGCGGAGAUGGGAGAUGGGAGGGUGCAAUGAUGUGACGCGAUGACGAGCCUGGUGUGUGUGCCGAUGUGUAUCACAGAAUUCUCUCGCUGAAGAGAUGCGCCAUGUUUGUCGCUUUGCUCUUCUGGGGCACCUUGAUCCAUCCUGGCGCGUCUUUUGUGCUAACACGAAAACACACAGUCUCCCGCUUCCCCACCGUUCUCUUUUUCAACUAGAGGUCUCCCCUUCGCUCACUGAAAGAAGUGUACGGCGUAUCCCUGUCGUACAGUGACGAUUUGGACAUCAGUAAGGACCAGCACUUGCCGAUGAAGGACCACAUGGAGUACCGCUACUUGCUACAUGUGGACGGGCAGGUGGGGGGGGAGGGGGAGGGGGAGGGGGAGGGGGAGGGGGAGGGGGAGGGGGAGGGGGAGGGGGGUUAAGGGUUUGUGAAGGGGGCGGUGUGUAUGAGCAGGGUAGGGUUGGUUGGAUUGGCUAGUGUAUGAGAGGGCAGGACAGGGCAUAUGCAGCCGUCCUUUUCUGCGUGUGGUUUCCCGCACCUUCGCUAUACACACACAUACACACACAUACACACACAUACACACACAUACACACAUACACACAACACAUACACAUACAUACACACAUACACACAUACACACACACCACCUCCACCCACCCCCCCCCACCUCUCACCCCGACCCCCAGGGUUUGUCCUCCAAGCUGGAGACGUUGCUCACCCUGGGCUCCUUGGUUAUGAAGGAGGAGUCGGGGUACAUGGUGAGUGCGUAUGUAUGUAUGUAUGUAUGUUUGUAUACUCUUAUGUUUGUCCGUGGUCUGUCUACACAUCUGAUAUCUAUGUAUCCAUGUAUCUAGAUAUUUGCGUGAUGUCCAUCUGUAUGUCCAUCUGUGUGCGGAAUUCCGUCUCAUCUCGGCUGCAACCCCGUUCGGAUUGAAUGAGCCACUGACAGACAGACAGACAGACAGACAGACAGACAGACAGAGUGACAUUACCCCGUGUGGUUUCUCUGCCUCUACGGCUAAGAUACCCCGCUGUGAUAUCCCCACGCCGCGCCACGCCACGACUCGCAGGCCUUCUACCACCACCUGCUGAAGCCAUUUGAGCAUUUUGUUCCAGUUUGGCGGGCGGGCACCGGCCCCGAAACCAUUCUGGAUGCUCUCGCCUGGGCUCGAACCCACGACGCCGAAGCCCAACGCAUCGCAGCAGCCGGCCAGGCGCUGACGGCGAAAUACCUCUCCUCAGAGGCCCGAGCCUGCUUCUGGCUCAAACUGCUCGAGGAGUACGGCAACACGCUGUCGUACAAGCCCGUUGAGUUUCGCAACCUCACGUUUGGGCCGGACGGGUGGGUCUCAGAGGGGAAAUGGCGGUACAUAAAACCCGCACGCGUCUUUCUUAAAGAGGAGGUACGGGAGUACUAUCCGCAGCUGCUUCGUAUGGCUUGGGAACCCUAGGAACCGUUUAACUGACAACCAAUGGUUGGUUAUUUCGUUGGCUGGGGGGUUUGGUUCAGGAGGAAAUCACAGUUCAUGAAGCGUGUUUAUUUCCACAGAAAGAAUGCUCUGGCUGGCUCGAGUGUGGAUGGGUUGCGGGCUACCAUUGUAAUGCCUCCUGAUAAGCGAGCGACGCGCGGGGGGUUUGGGGUGGAGUGGAGUGGAGUGGAGCGGAGCGGAGCGGGGGAGGAUUAUUCAUUGUCGAGUGUGCGUGCUUGUGUGUACGUGUGAAAACGCUGUUGACUGCGGCAUGGACGGGGGUGCAUUCUGAUGGUUGAGGCAUCCAGGGCAACAUGCAGGUAGGUAGAAUACCCCAACCGUGUAACCCCAACCGGAAAACCACCCCGCAUACGCGAACACGUUGCGACGAAUACGUGGGAGGACGGCGCUGUGAGCUUCUAAGGAUUUGAACUGGAGGGAAGGACGAGGAGGAAUGGAGAGCAAUAAGGACAUGUGGCGCACUGUCGUGCGCUCGCUCGCGUGUUGGCGUUGGUGUUUGCGCUCCGCUCCGAUUGCGAUCCGAUCCAUUUCUCCUCGGGCAGUUUUGGCGCGCGGAGAUGAACGGGUUAUGAUACCUGAUACUGGCGGUGUGUUCUGAGUUGAUACUGGUUGAUUUAGAUGGAAGCGAAGCCGUGUGUGUGUGUGUGUGAAGACAGCCUGGCAGCGACGAGCGGAGGCCUGCGGUGGAAACUCUGUAUGUAUGACUGCCGCAUGUUGUUGCAGCGGAAGGGGAAGUGGGGACCUCGCUGCUGCUGGGGCCUCGCCCUGGAUGUGGGUGGGGACUGCACGAGCGACUGGGGUGAGCGACCCCAGAUGGGCCCUAUGAACCCUAAGGUAGUACCCACUUGUGGGACCGCAUUGCGACAGCACGCGUAGUGACGAGUGGACACCUCUAUUUAUUAAAAUCGCCCGAAAGGAUAUGUCUGCAUGUAUGUAUGUAUGUAUGUAUGUAGGUAGGUAGGUAGGUAUGACGCAUAACCAGCUUGGCGGGUCCACCACGUACAGCCUCCGGGCUCCUGCGGCCGUUGAACUUCACCUUCCUCAGGGCACGUAGUCAGUGCGGGUUGGUGGGAUUCUCCGUGGCCAUGUUGGCUAGGUAUGCACGCAUACAUACAUACAUGUAACACGCAUGGCCACGCCGUAUGAGGCUGGCGUUGUUGCCACCAGCAGCCUGCAGCACGUAUUCGCGAAUAUGUUGUAUGUUAGGGCGGGUUAGACUUGCGAACAGCCGCCUCCGUGUUGAUGAUGAUGAUGAUGAUGACGGUGAUGAUGAUAAUGAUGAUGGUGAUGACGAUGAUGACGGUGAUAAUGCUGUUCGCGGCCUUCCAUACGCCUUGUAUAUGCUGUUCUAGCGGGUUUUCGCGGGGUUUCUGACGAUGGUAAUCGAUAAUGCAGUGUGGAUCCAACCGUAGCUCUUAGGGAAGGGAGAUCGUCUCGUCAAGUGAUGCCUCCAAGGAGGGUUCCAUGCAUCGCUGUUGUUGGGAUAACGCAGGUUUGAAAGGCUCUUAGUGGGUGUCUGAAAUCCGGCUCCCGGCUGUACUUGAAUGCGAUUUGUUACAGCAGACCCCGAACGGGUCGAGUGCAUCAGCAGCACAACACUGCGGGGGCCCUAUAGCUCCACUGAGUGUCCAGCUAGUGUCAGGCCAAGGCGCACCGACAUCACUGGGCUAAAUGCCCUCUGUUACUAUGCAACUUGGUACCGAGACUUGUACAUGGUGAGGCCGAAAGUCGUCAGAUCGACUCCCUUGGGAAACUGCAAAGCAGCUGCAAUUCAGGACAACCAGAUUUCCAAAACAACCAUUUUGCAGCACAGACAGCGCGUAAUGUCAGAUGAUUCUGGAGGGUACGAUGCGAACUCUUCCCUAAGGCUCACACUGGCUGGGCGGGCGCUGGCUGUCGGGUCCCGGCGACGUCACCCUGCCGAGGCUGAGGAGUGUGAUAAUAGUGAUUGCAGUGGAGCUUGUUUGCAGCAGGUAUCGUAAAGUACGGCAUAUAUACUUUUCCCCGCCGCUGUGCUUUGACCGGACAUGACCCGCGGGUCUCGGAGUACGCCGAAGCGGCAUACGGACAUGGAGCUUGUGGCUUUCGGUCCAUGUACAGGUUCACCUACGGAAUUGUCAGUAGGAAAUCUAGAACGAUUAAGGUGUUUACACUGGAACCUUACUUUGGUUACCAGGUUUGGGGGUCUGAGCCUGCGACCUUCGGUACUACGACAACUGUCUGAGUCAACCAGAUUUGCCGAAUGCUACCUCUUAGGUGAGACCUUUGUUCUCCUCCUAAUGUUAUUGACUUUGCCCUUUCCAAUCCAUCAUUCAAAGAUACGGUUUUACGUUUGUCGUUUCACUGUGUUUGGUGCUUACCUGCAAACCCACUGCAAGUCUCAGUUAUGUUAGUAAAAUCCAACUAUCUAUUUAUUGUUUAGGACAUCGUUUGUGUUGAGCUCCAAACCCUUCAACAAUCAAGGUCGUGCCAUUCCAAUAGAGCCUACUCGGUUAUAAUUUUAAACGGAAUUUCCCAGUAGAGAAUGUUUGAACGACAAUUACACCAUCACAUACCGGCGGUCUUGUUGCUAUGGCGUGCAGCUGCAGUGGCGAUGCAGAGUGGCACCCACACAGCUGUCGCAAGCACAGCACGCUGUGCGAGAGAGCGAAAGACCAUGUCCAUGUCGGCUGCAGCAGUAAGUCUCUGGGUCUCCUGCCGGCUCACGCGUGAGCUAUGCCCUACUCACACGUCCUCUCCCCUUCCCGAUAGGUAAAACGGCAGGCGAACAUAAAUGCCGUCCGGCAUGAGGUUCCCGUGGCAAGGUGCGUGCACUAUAACCUCUCAUCAGCAAUAAAUGGAAACGAAUACAGCUUUUGCAUACCUGACCUGCAUCCCUCCGUCCAAUACACAGCACCGCUGGACUCAGCUCUUUAAUCAAACCCCCCCCCUCCCGCCCCGCCUGCCCCUUCCCGGCGCGCAUUUCACGACGCUACGUCACGGCUUCCCCUCACGCCAGAACGCCGCCGGGGGUUCGCCUGCCUAUGCUGCGCACUCCGCGCGACUCCCACUCGCUCAGUUCCUCCCCAUUUGGAGCAGGCUGCGGUGGCGCCGCCAGCCGCCGCGAGGCCUCCCAUUGGUCCGCGCUGCGCAGUAGGCUAUUUCCGGCCCUGCGCGUGACCCUGCUGCCAUUCACGGCGGCAUGUCUGGCGGCAGCGGCGGGCGCACAAGGGUGAGUCCUGUGUGGGGGUUGAGUCCGGUGACAAAAGGGUGAGAGUUGGCUGUUGGCUCCCGAGUCCCUGUUGGCUCCCGAGUCCUACACGUGCCUACAUUGGGCGGUGGAGACCAGGCGGUGGCGAAAAGACCCCGAAAGGGCUGCAAGGGCUGAUUUUGGUGAGCCCGUAAGGCGCAUCACGUAGCCGAGGACAGGAACUCGCGGAAGACCUCUGGAUGGGAGCCCCUUCCGGGUUGAGGGCGAAGGGGGCACCGGGGUAUAUUGAGUGCGCGCCCUGACGAGGCCACGUAGUUGGGUGGUGGCCUUGCUUGGGGGCCUUGGUGUGUGCGUGUUUGAUUGCCGAGGAUGGCCACCUGGUGGAUGGCCCGUGGUUGGCUUGGGGCCACCCGACCCCACCUGGCAGUUUGCGACAGGCCUUGGGCCCUGUCUGUCUGUCUGUCUGUCUGUCUGUCUGCUUCCCUCUAUCUGCGUGUCUGUAACCCUUUCCUGACCAGCUCUGGAUAGGUUUUGUGUUUCUCUUUUCCUGCUCUUUUCCUGCAGCUGGUAAUAUUAUUGCAAGUUGUCUGAUUUCCAAUUCGCUUCUUCACAACCCACGACACCUCACGACACCUCACCCAGGCAAUUCCAGCGGCCACCAGACGUCGCAGGCCUGCAUGGCUCCCAUCUACCGCCACGUGCGCCUUUCGCGACCCACGGGUCAAUCGUCACGGACUCCACCGCGGUACCAACGGACGUGCGCACGGCGCGGCAGAUGCUGGAAUCUCGCGGCUUUGUGCAUCCGGGUUUGCAACCCGGAGCGGCGUGGGGCGCACUGCCUGCGGCUAGCCCCGGGGGGUGAGCUACCCCCCUUGCGACCUCUGGGGGCCCUGGGGUGGGCUCCCUUCGGGGGUCUCACACGACGCUUUUCCUGAGCAGCAGCGAGGUGCCAGCCACCACAAUGGCAGACAGCACACCAGGGCAGAAGGCGAAACCUAGUUGGAGUUCUAUUUCGCCUCGUCUGGUGCCGCAUUUAGAUUAGACGAUAAAAUCUAGAAAAGAAACGGGCCAGACUAGGAGGCACGUCCUGUUUAAUGGCACUAACUUUCAUACUGAAUGCACCAACACCCAAAUAAAAAACCCGGAGUGAGUGAGUGAGUGAGUGGGUGAGUGAGUGAGUGAAGAGAGGAAAGGAUUUUGCGCACGAUGCGCGAUUGGGGAAGAGGCGCCGCCGAUUGCGUGCUUGCUCGCCCCGAAGCGCGAAGAACGGUUGGAGCGAAGGUCGUUCAGGUCGCGCAACAGUUUUCCGAUUUCCCUAUUCACCUUUACGCAUUUCACGACCUUGACGGCCGUACCGCCCGUACAUUAUUUUUCACCCCACAAGGGAAACGGCAGUCGUAUUGACAAACAUACUUCAACUGAAAGGGGCCCCUCUUCUCCCGUGAUGCCCUUGCACCGUGUUACAGCUCUGGAGAGAUGCACGCCAUGUUCGAGUACCUGUUGCUUUUUCCAGCUUGAUCAGUUAUUGCCGUACUGUACAAUGCAGUACAAUGCAGUACAGUCGCGCGUACAGUUCACCCCAGUCCAACGCAGCACGGAGCAAUGCAGCACAGUAAUUACAGCAUAUGAUGCAGUGUACGGUGCGGUGCGGCGCGGCGUGUUUUGCAGCGCCGUACAGUGUUUUGCCCCGGCGUUGCCCCUCCGCUCCACCUGCUGUCACGCGCUGCUCAGCCCAGUGCGAGAGAUAUCACCGGCCUAUCGAGGCCACCUACGGGCCAUAAUAACAACUGAUAUCGCCAUCACGGAUCAUCGCGAUCUUCAUGGCUGAAAGGGGAUUCGAGGGCUUGAGGGCGCUGGAGGCUCGCGAGAGAGAUAUUUGCAUUCGGCCCUGCCUGAUUAUAUAAAAAAAUGAUUGUCGUACUAGUGUCGUACUAAGCGGACCACACGUAUUUUACGUGUGCGUGUGUGCUUCCCAGUACCCGGAGGAAGCAGGCGAGAAGCCACCGUCAUUGCUAAUAUUGUAAGUGUAAUAUCGUCGUUAUGAAGGUAUUCGGUUUGCAAGAGGCUUGUAGCUUAGAGAGCGUCUUGCGAGGAGUGAGGGGGGGAGAAGCGCACUGUUAUGAAAGGGGGAGGAGAGGGAAAGGGUAAUGCAGUUGCAGAGGCUUCCUUGUGCGUAUCCAUAGCUAUGUGGGUACGGGUACCUAGCGUGUGUGUUUUGUGUCUAGGGGGUGGGGAGAGGGUUGCAUACAUACAUACAGAUAGAAAGCUUAGCGGUGUAGAUGGAACGCCGCGAUUUCCAGAACCUGGGGCCCACUAGGGGGUGAGAGCGAGAGGAUAGAGAACACAAUUACAUCAUAUUAUUAUAGAUGCAACGGGCGCAGGUGCAGCCCAUGGUUGCGGACUAUUGUUGUGGUUGCGUCGUGUAUGACAUCACUAUGUACGACAGACAUAUCGAUGGUUGGGUUUCCCAGUCUUUGGAGGUUUGCAGCUGCUCUAGAGGCCCUCAGGAACCUUCAUGGACGGCAACUUCUUCUUCUUCCUCUUCUUCUUCUCCUUUUUAUCCGCUACACCAUCAAAAUCUUGUGUGCUGCGCGGCUGUGGACGACUUCUUCAUUCGUAACUUCUUCUUCAUAUGCGUACUGUAAUAACUCCCAAUACAUGUUGUAUUGUAGUCAGAUCACGGUGUAUUCUCUUAUGGCUCGGUGUGUUCGUGUGCAUAUGCCUUACCGGGUGUAUUUGAGUGGUCUUGUAGCCACAGAAUGGCGCCUUAGCGAGGCUCCGGACUCCUAGUAAAGGAGGGUCGUCGAUGUGUGUGUGUGUGUGUGUGUGUGUAUAUUACAUAUCUUGCCGGGACUGACGGGGCUGGCCAGGGGCUGUUGCCCAGCUGCCCCAACGAACAAGACCGCCGAAGCUACUCCCCUAAUGCAGUGUAUGCUGUGGGGAAGCUGGAUGUGUGUGCUGCUGCUUGUUUGCUCUUGAUUGCCAACGGCCCAUCAGGGCACAGCGCUGUAGCUGAGGUCCCACCGCUGGAGGGCUGCUGGAGGGCGGGUGCAGUGCCGACCUGUAGCUCCGGAGCCCAUUGCCGCGUGGUGGUGCUCGGGCGGCGUCGAUUCGUUGCGAUAUAGCAAUGCGCGCCGUGUUUGUCCUUGUGUUUCGUGGUAUUGCGUUGUUGCAUGUGGGGCCCUUAGACGUCUCCACUUUCUCUCCUUGCUCUUCUCCUCUUUGAUACGGUACUUAUAUGUCUUUUAAUUCCUUGGAUGCCCUGUACGCGCGUUUUUGGGACGGGAAUAUUUUCUGCUUGCUGUUGCCGCCAUCUGUUGGUGGUGGUGCCGCCAAGUUUCCCGGUCUCCACUUUCGAAGCAGGAGGUUCCUAAGCACGGCGAUGCUUCUUGUGGAGGCCUCACACGUACUGUUAUAUGAAGUCAGCGCGGCAUGAACGAAACUAAAUCACGCUCAAAAACAAUGGAAGGUGUUUACAACUCUGCCUGUGUCGCACUUGGUGGACCCUAAAGAUGUUCGGAAAUUCGCCUCUGGACGUCCAGUAUGCCCCAGAGUUUCAACCUACAAGCUAAAUUCCGGUAACGUACGGCGAAUCUUAAACCGUUACUUUCAGCUGCACAGAGCUCCAAACCUGGUAGCAGCAAGCUGGGAGCUGCGCAAAUAUGUCGCAUUUAUACCGUUGUCCGGAGGGUCUCAGCCUGAGACCCACAAGAUGCACGAAAGGCCGAACAGCGUUUCACCUUGGUCGUAAGCUUGUAGGCCACAUAAAGGCCGCUGAGGAUGGUGAUCGAUCAGAUAAAGCUCUAUCCACGUUGGACUCUCUACUUGGAUCGGAAAACGAUUCAGGUGAGUUCACCUGCUGUCACCGCUAUGCUGAGCCCUGGCAUUCUGAUACAGCUGGAAGCUAUCCCAGUCGAAAACAGCUGGCAGUAUUUCUAAACCAGCUGGGACAAAUUACAUGCUGUAAAAGCCACUUGGCAAAUCUGGCCACUGCCCAGGUGGUCCAUCAUCGGUCGGCCGCGACCCUGCUCUUGUGGAAUGGUGGCGCAUACGGCCGCGUCAAGCUGCUCCCCCCCGCACUACAUCCAUCUCCUCCUCCGUCAAUCCCUCCGGCCGCUUCAUCGCCAAUGAGGAAAUGCUGCGGAACGAGGUCCGGGCGGGCCGCAAGUGAGUGAGGGCUAACACCGUGGUGCCCUGCUGCGACCGAAACAAGAUGUGGGUUGCUCCCACAACCCUGGAGCUGCAAAUCCUGGACUGGAGACAGAGCGGGAGAUGUACGGGGACGUGGUUGAUGCCUUACACAACCUUUCGAUAGGUUUAUGCGAGCACAGAGAGGUCCAGGUCCAGCACUAAGGGUGAAUGAGGGUGGGGUCCCUGCUUGUUUUUUCCCCCGCCCCACCCCAACCCCCGCACGCCACCAUCGUCUCCCCCCCUCCCCCGCACUCUCGCGGUAACCUUCCCCUCCUGACACAACCCUUCGUCUCCUCUUCCUCCUGCCCCCAGGACCCUCCCUGGACAGGCCUUGGAGCUGCCCAAGGUGGGCUUCCGGGAAUGGGUUGGCACAGCGGCAGAGGGUGUGGAGGGCUCCCUGGGGGUUGCUGUUGCUGUUGCAGGGGGAUCUGGAUCUGGAGGUGGUCUGCGUGUGGCAGCAAGGCAGUGGAAGGGGGCGAACUAGGGGCAUGUUAAUUGAAGAACUAGAGUCGCGCCAUCAGGACGAUCGAAACCGUGAAGAGUGUAAACCUGGCCUGCGUGAAGCAGCGAGGUAUGCGCCGGGUCUUCACUCUGUGACAGGUCUUCACGCAGAGAUGAAAUUUGUUGAUGCGGAAGUAACCACGGCUCUUUCAAAACAGGUAGCAGGUUCCCCUUAAGGACUAUGGAUACGAGCAAGGCCAUUCCAAACCCUCGCACCCAUCGUUUUGCCGCCCCUUCCCACCGCCACGUACGGCCGUCCAGGUGGUGCCGUACGCGUCCUACAUCAUCGCACUAAUCCACGCGGCAGUGUACGGCACGUUGGUACGGGUGUACGUCACGCAGGGUGCAGAUGCAACUUCGGAGCUCCGCGAAGGCCUGGAGCUCAGUCGCUCGGCGGUGGUUGACCAGGUGCGUGUCGCUUUUUUUAUUCGUACGGGCGCGCCAAGUUCUCCUCCACGCCAUCGUUCUUUCUUUCCGGGUGGAGAACCGCAAUGCGUGUUUCGGGUCCUGGCCCUGCCGCAGACCGGACAGCAUCCCGCCUAUAGCCUUAUAGCCUAGUCUCACCCCAGCCUAUCCGGGGGAAGAUGGGUGCAGGUGAUCGCACACAGAGGGGUGUCCAGGCCCUGUGGGCUUGUGGCCCUUAUUUAUUUAUCAUGGUCGAGCCAAACCGUCACCGUCGUCGUUUUCCUUUCGAAUAAAGAAUUUUUUGGAAUUGUAUUUAAAGCCAGAGCAGGGUUAGCUGCGCCUUGCCGCACUUAAGAGGAGCUGGCGGGGCCUCCAUGUCUGUUCCUUGAUGGGAUGAUGUUGACCAUACCGCAGUGGUCCCUCUGUCCUUCCUUCCGACCUAACUAACCCAUUGGAGCUCUCCAACCCCGUACUUAUACAUACAUACACACAUACACCGUGUGCAGGCGGAGGUCUGGCGGCUGCUGAGCGGCUGCUUUGUCCAGGCAGAUCUGCUGGGUCUUGCUGUCGUAUUGUACGGCAUGUUGGUGGUGUCGCCGCGCGUCGAGGCGUCCCUUGGGUAGGUUGACAAUCCAGUCGAUGCAUGGCGUCAUCAUCCAUGUGCUUUGCGGGGAAGCCGGGCCUGGGCAGGCUGGGUCAGGUCUCCUGAUCCGCUGCUGUACGGCAAGCUCAAGGACCCUGCCACAAACAUUUUGUCCCCUCAGCGUAAUUUGGCCCUGCGUAUUUGGCUUGGCCCUAUGUACGACACUCCUGCGGGUAACAUUCCAAACAUUUUCCGGCUCCCUGGCCUUGUCCGUCGUGUCUGAACGAAACAGGUACCGCACUUUUAUGGCGGCGUACGUGCUGUCAGCCAUGGCCGCCGCCGACGUGUUGCUCGCGCUUACGGCCGCCAGUGGAGACACCGUCGUAGCCGCAACGCAGACCGCUGCGGCGGCGGCAGCCGGCUCCGGGCUGCCUGCCGGGCUGCUGGAAGCCAUGAUGCAUCCCGGAAGUCAUGACACCCUGGCGGGUGUCGUUGUUGGGGACCCCGGGGCGGUGUACGGCGGCUUGGGGGCGGCUAUGGGCCUGGCGGGCAGCACGGUGGCGCAUCAGCUAAUUAAUGGAGACGUGGAGCGCCAAGCCAGCGGCAGUAGCAGUGGCAGCACGGGGCGCGGUGCCGGCGGCGGCAGGGGUGACCUUGGGGAAGGCGGUGGUGCGGCGGCAGUGGUUGGUUUGGAUGCGGUGCGAACCGGGGUGCUGCUGGCGGGAGCUGCUGCGGUGGUGCUGCAACAUGUGCUGGAUCCAGGCGGGGCGGCAUUGGUGGCUUCACUGGGCGCGGGCUUUGGAACAGGUAACGCUGAUUUGCAUUCUGAACGAUAGAAAGUGCAGACACCAGCAAUACUACUUUUAUCUUCACCUGUAGCCUCUGCACUCUGCAGCCAACUGCCAAAUUGCGCCUGUCGCGUCAUGCUCGUUUCGUCACGGUUUCGAUUGACGACCUAAUCUCAAAAGCUACAGGCAUGUACACUACCGUAGGUGCUUUGUAUAUAGUAAUGGUGCACGAGGCUGCUAGUGAUCUUCGCUGUUACACCCGGUCGCAGUGCACUGAAAGGCUGUUUUCGUUUUCAUUCCCUCCACUCUGUCUUCAGGUUUCAUACUGUCUUCCAUAGCUGGACCCCGAUACCAGGUUACGCGGGAAGUGGAGCUGCCGGACGGCUCCAUGUGGAUCCCAGAUCCGGACUUGGUGACGGAGGUUACGGUAGUUUUAGACCAAACUACGUCCAUCCAACGCACUUUGGCAACAGCGACACUGGCUGCGGUUGUCUCCAUUGCCACAAUAGUGGUGCUGUUUGGAAGUGGGCAAUAAUGUCCCAAGUUCGGCAGAUACUGAUGCAAAGAGUUAGCCAAUGGUCGUAGCUUGUAAAAGCUGACGAAGGAAUAUAAUUCUCCCAAACAAAUCUGUCUCGCAUGUUACAAACCAAGCUCCAGGACAUUGCAACGCAAGUUCACACGCUGCUUGUUCAUGUCCAGCCAGUCACGCCGAUAUACACAGGCUUAACGACACAAAAAUUCCCUGCCACCAGUCCCAUACUGCCAACAAACCGCUAAACACGUACAUGCCGCCAAUGGAACACGUUUGACUGCGUAGCAGUCCGCCAUGUGCGAAACGAGCCGUAACGCCGAGUUAUGUGCCCCCGCCGCUCGGGAACGUUUACAACAGUCUGCCAUUAGCAUUGCAGCGCACAGGGCCAGAGAGCAGCACAACCCACAGGUAUAACACCCUCACGUCGUCUUCACCAACAGCACACUACGCCGCGAGAACCUGUUUCUAGCCCCGGGAGCGUUAUACCGACGCAACACCUCUCACAAACGCCCUCAUUGCAAUACCUGCUGCACUCACUUAAUAUACUGGCUGAGCCACCGGAAGCCUUCACCAUACCCCAUGCGCUUGACGACUGAGCACAUAAACACCUCGCACGGCCGAAUCUUCGAGUCGCUGAGGUUCACCUUGCCCUUGCCGGUGGUGUAAGUCAAGCCCAGCCAGUUCCUGAGCUCAUCCUCGGAAGCAGCGGUUGGGAUGUCAAUCUUGUUGCCCAGGAUGAGAAAGGGAACCGUGCCUAGUGAGUCAUCGCCCAAAAGACCGUCGAGCUCCUUUUUUGCCUCAGGGAACCGCUCACGGUCCGCUGAAUCCACAAGGUACACGAUAGCGUCCACCUUUGCAUAGUAAUCCUUCCAUACACGGCGGGCAAUCUCAUGACCGCCAAGAUCGAACGCUUUAAAGUUGAUACCGCCCAAUUGAAUCUCUUCGGACGUAGGAUACUGUGUGGGUUGAUGCUGCACCACGCGGUCGUCCUUGAGCAUAUGCAUCAGCGUCGUCUUGCCAGCAUUGUCCAGACCCAGGAAGAGGAUCUUCGCGUUCUUGUUGUAAAGUCCCAAGUAGUUAAGAACUCCGUAAAACCAAUUUACCAGGAACAUCUUGCUCUUUCAAGGAAAACUUCUCCAAGGCUGCGGCUUUCAAAGCAGAAGUGGAGAAGGUCUAGGGCACGCAGCUGUUGCAGUGUUGCACGCUUCCCAACCUAGGUGGUCACUACAAGCAGUUUGCGGUCCUAACUUCAAGCCUCAAAAGGAUGUCAUGACACUUAGUUGGCAAGGACACCUGGCGUUUGUACGGCUCUGCAUAAUUCAAGAGCUCAUCGGAAGGAGGACAGCUCGAAACUAUUUCCAACAGCAUCUCGUCUUACGUAAGAUGUCUCUAAAUAAUUAAUUAUUUGAUUGGUGGAACCUAGGUGAGGACCCGAUAUCCACAGGGGUUUCAAGCCUUGUGGCACAGGGUGUCGCUGCGGGGCGUCCAUUUGCAUUCCCCAUAGACGAAGAUAACUCUAUGAUAUUUCGGGGGGUCAUGGCUUUAUAUGAAGGGCUCAAUUACUUCCAAUUGCACACGCUGGAUUCCGAGGCAGGGCUAUAGCGCCCUAAACUGCCGCACAAUCUUCAGGGCGGCAGAUGCAGGCGCCUCCGUCACAAGGCCAUAACGAGCUCAUUUGAGUGUCGUGGCUUCAGGUUUGGGUACCAAGUAUGCGGACAUGCUGCACGCCCACAAGCAUGCUCUGAAGGAGAACGCUGAGACGAUGCGCACAUUCUCUGAUCCCAGCUAAUUUUAAAUUUGGCUUCGUCCCGACAGGGUGCACAGCAAUGAAACCGCAGGGUGGUAGUAGCCCGCGGGCCUUCCUUAUAGCUCUAGAUAACGGUCGAACUUAUCAACGACCGUUUCUCCAUGCAAAUGGUCCCCAGGAAAGGCUCAAUUACAGUAACCGGAUGUCUGCUGAACUUGGCCGCGCGUGUAAGGGCAGGAAUCGGUAUUGAUAUAUGCACACACCGCUUUACGUUGCGCAACGUCUUAAUCUCCCCUCUUCCCCCUGCUGACCCGCUACGAUGUUUACAGAGCCCAUGAUGAUGCUGUCAACACCGUCUUUCAUAUGUACACAUAGACAAAGAGCAUGGAAGAGCGCAUAAACGUGUAUAAUGUCAUGUCCUUAGCAUACUUUUUAGUGCGGCUGUGGCACACCGUCACACAGUUGUGACUGGUCCCUAGUGCGUCUGACCAGGUCUGACCUCGGCUCAGUCGACAAAACGGUUUCAAAGUGGUUAAGGACUCUCAACUACUUGUUACAGACAACUCACUGUCACGACAAUUCUCGCGGUGCGGUGCUAAAAGGCAACAUCACACGACAAGGUUUGGUGAAGAGUGUCCGUUCAACUUGAGCUCGAGCUCGUGAAUUUCUGUACACAGCUCCCAUAUCUCGUCAUUUCUUUAUCCACAGAAGAAUUCCACAGAAGAAUCGAAGAACCCAGACGAAUGCCCACGCUGUUACACUGCCAUUUCAGCUGUAACAACCACCACCAACAUUUCCAAACCACACGCCUUUCGAAACGCUCUCGCUGCGUCCACGGCACGGAGGAGAACACGCCGCACAGACACACACACACACACACAGACACACACACACACACAGACACACACACACACACACACACACACACACACACACACACACACACACACACACACACACACACACACACACACACACACACACACACACAN